rnacentral:lncRNA from 1 species
GAAGAUCAUCGGAGCAACGAACCCUGCAGCAUCUGAGCCAGGAACCAUCCGUGGGGAUUUUGCAAUUGACAUUGGGAGGAACAUUAUCCAUGGGAGUGACUCGGUGGAGAGUGCUAACAAGGAGUGUGCGUUGUGGUUCCCUGAUGGACCUGUGAACUGGCAGAGCAGCCUUCAUUCUUGGAUCUACGAAUGAUUCUCUAUCGUUCUGUGAUCCUUUGUUUCGGUUGUUGUUUAUGAGUCAAAACAUGUUUCUCUCCUUUGUUUUUGUUGCAAGCUCUGUUGCUUUCCGCCUCUUUGCAUCUUUUUUUUUUGAAGUUUGAAUCUCAGAACAUGACUCUUUUUUUUUUUUGUGUGAGGGUUUCUUUGAACCGUCUUAUAUUAUCUUUCUACCCGAGCAAGAGAGCCAAAUGGGUUUUCAUCGGAAGUUUUAUUAGCGUUCUCAAUUUCUAAAACACAGACGUGCGAGUUGCCAACAUGUUUUUUGCACUUAAACUAGUGUAGUAGGAUCAUGUUCUUGUGACCAAUUAUUGUGAGAAAAGCUGCUCCCAAAUGUUUCGUUCAUUUCUUUUUCUUGAGCAACUCCAACCGUUUCCAGAAACAGAAAUAAAACGUUAAAAUAAAACAAAACGUCGACAGCAGGGUUCGAACCUGCGCGGGCGAAGCCCAACAGAUUUCAAGUCUGUCUCCUUAACCACUCGGACAUAUCGACUUAUUGCGGUAAAGUGAAAUUGUUGAUUAUAAUAACAAGGGAAGGCCCAAUAAAGGCCCAUAAGUGCUGACUUGGAUUCUCUCUAAAGCUCACAGUGAGGCUUUCUCUAACGACGGAUGCCGCGUGUUUCAUCAUCGAGAGUCGCGAGACGGUUUAGAAUCUGAAAAGCCGAUCAAAUCUGAAGAAAACCGGCGACGAAUCUCCCCGGCGUAGAUUCUGUUACUGAGAGAUUGAUGCCAUCGUGAAUCAUCACGGCGAGUUGGAUGAUGCGUUUAUAACGGAGGCUAGGAAUUAGAUAUGUCAUCGGGAGGAGGGUACAACGAGGACAGGCAUCUAUUGCGAUCAACCGACGGAGAUGAAGUCGUCAAUGGCAGAGGAGAGGGUGAUCUCGACGUUGAAUCUCAGUCUCCGGCCAUCAGGAAUUCCACCGGAGGAGUUAGAAAUCUGCUCAAGCAUCUGGAUCGGAGAUUCUCUCUCUCCGGGCGUCGUCUGAGCUUCAAACGACUGGAGAAUAUCAGAGUCGAUAGGAGCCACCACCAUCCCUCUUCUUCUUCCCCACUCUCGGCUGCCGGAGAAGAAGAUGGCGUCGAUGAUCGCGAUGAUGAGUACGGUUUUGAUGAAGGCAACGACGUGCUGGGAGAUAGUGCUCCACCUGAGUGGGCUCUGCUUCUUAUCGGCUGUCUCAUCGGUGUCGCUGCCGGGAUUUGCGUCGCCGGCUUCAACAAAGGGGUACGCUGUCAUGCGUCAGAUCUUGAUCUGUGCACAUUGAUUUGAAUCUAUAUUGAUUGAUAUUCGAGUAGUGGUUUUUGUCUAGGUUCAUGUGAUUCAUGAGUGGUCAUGGGCUGGUACUCCCAACGAGGGUGCUGCUUGGCUUCGUCUGCAGAGACUAGCCGACACGUGGCAUCGGAUUCUUUUGAUUCCUGUCACUGGGGGUGUUAUAGUAGGAAUGAUGCAUGGUUUGCUUGAGAUCUUGGAUCAAAUAAGGCAGUCCACUUCUUCCCAAGGACAAGGUGUAGAUUUACUUGCUGGUAUGUUCCCAGUGAUAAAAGCCAUACAAGCUGCUGUGACCCUUGGUACAGGAUGUUCACUGGGUCCCGAGGGACCUAGCGUUGACAUUGGAAAGUCAUGUGCCAAUGGUUUUGCGCUAAUGAUGGAAAACAACAGAGAAAGGAGGAUAGCUCUCACUGCAGCUGGUGCGGCUUCUGGGAUUGCAUCUGGUAUGUUUAGACCUCUUCUAAAAUUGCUUAUGCCUCCUCCUCCAUAAUUGAUAUUUGUGUAUUAUUGGAUUGCCUAUGAACGGAAUAGCAGCACAGCUCGUUCACUCUAGUAUUUAUUGGUUCUUGAGAUCUUUUUGGCUUAUUCAAUCUUAAUGGCCCCUCGUUCUUUUUGCUCACUCUCUUGGUUCCAGAAUUUUGUAUGUACUGUAGCCUACAAAUGUGUCUAUGAAUCUUAGGUUCUAGCACUAGACAGAGCAUUUUGCUGGUAUUAAUUAAUGAUAAAGAGUUUACUUAUGGUUACUUUGAUAUUGGUUUCGUGUGUAUGUGUUUCUUACUAUAAUGAGACCACUGACACAGGCACUACAAUUAUUUGGUCUUUCCAAAAUGGAAAUUUCGUUCAUGGUUAUAAAUCUGAUUUACCGAUCGUUAUUUGUGGUUACAGGUUUUAAUGCAGCAGUGGCGGGUUGUUUCUUUGCUAUUGAGACUGUUUUAAGACCUCUGCGUGCCGAGAACUCGCCUCCAUUUACCACUGCAAUGAUAAUUUUGGCCUCUGUUAUAUCAUCGACUGUGUCGAAUGCGUUGCUUGGGACUCAAUCAGCUUUCACAGUCCCCUCGUAUGACCUGAAGUCCGCUGCAGGUAUGUUAUUCUUUUGCUUUUAAUCUCAAUUGUAAACUUUCAGUUAGUCUGGUGGUAUAAAUGAUCAGUAGCUUAUGAUCGAAUGUCCUGAUGGAUAGGGUAUGAUAUCAUAAAGAUGCUUGGUAUCUUUAAAUUACGAAGGCUGAUAUAUAUAUGCUUCAACUAGCAUUUUCUUAUAAGUUUCCCAACAUGUUUUCACUUGUCUCCAGAGCUCCCUCUGUACCUGAUAUUAGGAAUGCUGUGUGGUGCUGUCAGCGUUGUUUUUUCUUGGCUCGUCACGUGGUUUACCAAGUCAUUCGAGUUCAUCAAAGACAAAUUUGGCCUUCCUGCUAUUGUGUGCCCUGCAUUAGGUGGUUUAGGAGCUGGGAUGGUUGCUCUCAAGUACCCCGGAAUUUUGUACUGGGGGUUUACAAAUGUUGAGGAAAUCCUGCAUACGGGAACGAGUGCUUCAGCUCCUGGAAUUUGGUUAUUAGCUCAGUUAGCCGCAGCCAAAGUUGUGGCCACUGCUUUGUGCAAAGGCUCUGGGCUUGUAGGCGGUCUAUACGCACCAAGUUUGAUGAUUGGUGCUGCUGUUGGUGCUGUGUUUGGAGGUUCGGCUGCUGAGAUUAUUAACAGAGCAAUUCCUGGUAAUUUGUCAGCCAAGCCCUUCUUCAGUGGUCUUGUUGAUUACAUAAUCUCUGGCCCAGUCGUUGCAAUGAUCUGGGAGGGAAAGAAUGUUGUGUUGACAGGAAGGAAGAUCAUCGGAGCAACGAACCCUGCAGCAUCUGAGCCAGGAACCAUCCGUGGGGAUUUUGCAAUUGACAUUGGGAGGAACAUUAUCCAUGGGAGUGACUCGGUGGAGAGUGCUAACAAGGAGUGUGCGUUGUGGUUCCCUGAUGGACCUGUGAACUGGCAGAGCAGCCUUCAUUCUUGGAUCUACGAAUGAUUCUCUAUCGUUCUGUGAUCCUUUGUUUCGGUUGUUGUUUAUGAGUCAAAACAUGUUUCUCUCCUUUGUUUUUGUUGCAAGCUCUGUUGCUUUCCGCCUCUUUGCAUCUUUUUUUUUUGAAGUUUGAAUCUCAGAACAUGACUCUUUUUUUUUUUUGUGUGAGGGUUUCUUUGAACCGUCUUAUAUUAUCUUUCUACCCGAGCAAGAGAGCCAAAUGGGUUUUCAUCGGAAGUUUUAUUAGCGUUCUCAAUUUCUAAAACACAGACGUGCGAGUUGCCAACAUGUUUUUUGCACUUAAACUAGUGUAGUAGGAUCAUGUUCUUGUGACCAAUUAUUGUGAGAAAAGCUGCUCCCAAAUGUUUCGUUCAUUUCUUUUUCUUGAGCAACUCCAACCGUUUCCAGAAACAGAAAUAAAACGUUAAAAUAAAACAAAACGUCGACAGCAGGGUUCGAACCUGCGCGGGCGAAGCCCAACAGAUUUCAAGUCUGUCUCCUUAACCACUCGGACAUAUCGACUUAUUGCGGUAAAGUGAAAUUGUUGAUUAUAAUAACAAGGGAAGGCCCAAUAAAGGCCCAUAAGUGCUGACUUGGAUUCUCUCUAAAGCUCACAGUGAGGCUUUCUCUAACGACGGAUGCCGCGUGUUUCAUCAUCGAGAGUCGCGAGACGGUUUAGAAUCUGAAAAGCCGAUCAAAUCUGAAGAAAACCGGCGACGAAUCUCCCCGGCGUAGAUUCUGUUACUGAGAGAUUGAUGCCAUCGUGAAUCAUCACGGCGAGUUGGAUGAUGCGUUUAUAACGGAGGCUAGGAAUUAGAUAUGUCAUCGGGAGGAGAGUACAACGAGGACAGGCAUCUAUUGCGAUCAACCGACGGAGAUGAAGUCGUCAAUGGCAGAGGAGAGGGUGAUCUCGACGUUGAAUCUCAGUCUCCGGCCAUCAGGAAUUCCACCGGAGGAGUUAGAAAUCUGCUCAAGCAUCUGGAUCGGAGAUUCUCUCUCUCCGGGCGUCGUCUGAGCUUCAAACGACUGGAGAAUAUCAGAGUCGAUAGGAGCCACCACCAUCCCUCUUCUUCUUCCCCACUCUCGGCUGCCGGAGAAGAAGAUGGCGUCGAUGAUCGCGAUGAUGAGUACGGUUUUGAUGAAGGCAACGACGUGCUGGGAGAUAGUGCUCCACCUGAGUGGGCUCUGCUUCUUAUCGGCUGUCUCAUCGGUGUCGCUGCCGGGAUUUGCGUCGCCGGCUUCAACAAAGGGGUACGCUGUCAUGCGUCAGAUCUUGAUCUGUGCACAUUGAUUUGAAUCUAUAUUGAUUGAUAUUCGAGUAGUGGUUUUUGUCUAGGUUCAUGUGAUUCAUGAGUGGUCAUGGGCUGGUACUCCCAACGAGGGUGCUGCUUGGCUUCGUCUGCAGAGACUAGCCGACACGUGGCAUCGGAUUCUUUUGAUUCCUGUCACUGGGGGUGUUAUAGUAGGAAUGAUGCAUGGUUUGCUUGAGAUCUUGGAUCAAAUAAGGCAGUCCACUUCUUCCCAAGGACAAGGUGUAGAUUUACUUGCUGGUAUGUUCCCAGUGAUAAAAGCCAUACAAGCUGCUGUGACCCUUGGUACAGGAUGUUCACUGGGUCCCGAGGGACCUAGCGUUGACAUUGGAAAGUCAUGUGCCAAUGGUUUUGCGCUAAUGAUGGAAAACAACAGAGAAAGGAGGAUAGCUCUCACUGCAGCUGGUGCGGCUUCUGGGAUUGCAUCUGGUAUGUUUAGACCUCUUCUAAAAUUGCUUAUGCCUCCUCCUCCAUAAUUGAUAUUUGUGUAUUAUUGGAUUGCCUAUGAACGGAAUAGCAGCACAGCUCGUUCACUCUAGUAUUUAUUGGUUCUUGAGAUCUUUUUGGCUUAUUCAAUCUUAAUGGCCCCUCGUUCUUUUUGCUCACUCUCUUGGUUCCAGAAUUUUGUAUGUACUGUAGCCUACAAAUGUGUCUAUGAAUCUUAGGUUCUAGCACUAGACAGAGCAUUUUGCUGGUAUUAAUUAAUGAUAAAGAGUUUACUUAUGGUUACUUUGAUAUUGGUUUCGUGUGUAUGUGUUUCUUACUAUAAUGAGACCACUGACACAGGCACUACAAUUAUUUGGUCUUUCCAAAAUGGAAAUUUCGUUCAUGGUUAUAAAUCUGAUUUACCGAUCGUUAUUUGUGGUUACAGGUUUUAAUGCAGCAGUGGCGGGUUGUUUCUUUGCUAUUGAGACUGUUUUAAGACCUCUGCGUGCCGAGAACUCGCCUCCAUUUACCACUGCAAUGAUAAUUUUGGCCUCUGUUAUAUCAUCGACUGUGUCGAAUGCGUUGCUUGGGACUCAAUCAGCUUUCACAGUCCCCUCGUAUGACCUGAAGUCCGCUGCAGGUAUGUUAUUCUUUUGCUUUUAAUCUCAAUUGUAAACUUUCAGUUAGUCUGGUGGUAUAAAUGAUCAGUAGCUUAUGAUCGAAUGUCCUGAUGGAUAGGGUAUGAUAUCAUAAAGAUGCUUGGUAUCUUUAAAUUACGAAGGCUGAUAUAUAUAUGCUUCAACUAGCAUUUUCUUAUAAGUUUCCCAACAUGUUUUCACUUGUCUCCAGAGCUCCCUCUGUACCUGAUAUUAGGAAUGCUGUGUGGUGCUGUCAGCGUUGUUUUUUCUUGGCUCGUCACGUGGUUUACCAAGUCAUUCGAGUUCAUCAAAGACAAAUUUGGCCUUCCUGCUAUUGUGUGCCCUGCAUUAGGUGGUUUAGGAGCUGGGAUGGUUGCUCUCAAGUACCCCGGAAUUUUGUACUGGGGGUUUACAAAUGUUGAGGAAAUCCUGCAUACGGGAACGAGUGCUUCAGCUCCUGGAAUUUGGUUAUUAGCUCAGUUAGCCGCAGCCAAAGUUGUGGCCACUGCUUUGUGCAAAGGCUCUGGGCUUGUAGGCGGUCUAUACGCACCAAGUUUGAUGAUUGGUGCUGCUGUUGGUGCUGUGUUUGGAGGUUCGGCUGCUGAGAUUAUUAACAGAGCAAUUCCUGGUAAUGCUGCUGUGGCUCAACCGCAAGCUUACGCUCUGGUAUUGUUUUACCUUUGAUGCAGGCCUUUACUUCAAUGCAUCUUUUUCUAAUUCUGAUAGUGCCCACUUCUGUUGUUACUGAUUUUGACUCAUCAAGUUGUCCUCAUUUAUGUGAUGCAGGUUGGCAUGGCAGCGACACUAGCUUCCAUGUGCUCAGUCCCCUUAACAUCAGUAUUACUGCUGUUCGAGCUAACAAAAGAUUAUAGAAUUUUGCUUCCUCUCAUGGUAACCAUACGUUUUUCCCUUUCAGUUUCUUUCUGGUGCUUAGAUAACAUGUGGUACUAUCAAAUAUAACAUGUGGUAAAAUCGCUUAGAGGGGUGAGAUUCAAGAAAUGCUUCCCUAGUUGGCUUGUUUAGCUGAUCGAGCAAUAAAGCUUCUCUUGAAACUAUGAAAUGAACCAGUUAUCAUUUUUCGCUAUUAUAAUGUUUUUAAGCAGAGGUAGUUUAUACGGAUAGAGAGCGAUAAGUUUCUUAAAAUCUUUAUCCUGUUUGUUCAUGAUCUGAUAUGCAUCUCUGUUUCCUCUAACAGGGAGCGGUUGGUUUAGCAAUAUGGGUCCCCUCUGUGGUAAACCAAGACAAAGAGAGUGAUUCUUCAGAGGGUCGCAACGCAGGAAGAGGAUACUCUACUCUUUCACCGUCCCAUCUUAAAACCGAAGGCAUUUGGAGACGCACGGAUAAUGCAAACUCCCUUGAGCUUACCGUGAUGGAGAACCCUGACCACAAAUCCUUCUUGGAUGAAGAAACUAUUCUGGACGACUUAAAGGUUUUGCGGGUUAUGUCAAAGAACUAUGUGAAGGUUUCUCUGGGAACAACUAUAAGAGAAGCAAGAAACAUUCUUAAAGACAGCCACCAAAACUGCCUUGUGGUGGUCGAUGAAGAUGAUUUUCUAGCCGGAAUCUUAACACAUGGAGACAGUAGACGUUGCUUGUCCAAUAAGGUCUCUCCAGUCGUAGAUGUAAGCAGUGAAACAUAACAAACUCUCCUGUCUCUUUUUUUUUGGCAAUGGAGUUGAAUGAACCUUGUUUGUUGCAGGAGAAUACAUGUACGGUUUCCUCAGUGUGUACUAAGAAAAUAACGUAUAGAGGCCAAGAACGCGGUUUGAUUACUUGCUAUCCAGACACGACGGUCGGUGUGGCCAAAGAGUUAAUGGAGGCAAGAGGUGUGAAGCAACUACCUGUAGUAAAACGAGGUGAAGUAAGUAUCAGGAAUUCCACCGGAGGAGUUAGAAAUCUGCUCAAGCAUCUGGAUCGGAGAUUCUCUCUCUCCGGGCGUCGUCUGAGCUUCAAACGACUGGAGAAUAUCAGAGUCGAUAGGAGCCACCACCAUCCCUCUUCUUCUUCCCCACUCUCGGCUGCCGGAGAAGAAGAUGGCGUCGAUGAUCGCGAUGAUGAGUACGGUUUUGAUGAAGGCAACGACGUGCUGGGAGAUAGUGCUCCACCUGAGUGGGCUCUGCUUCUUAUCGGCUGUCUCAUCGGUGUCGCUGCCGGGAUUUGCGUCGCCGGCUUCAACAAAGGGGUACGCUGUCAUGCGUCAGAUCUUGAUCUGUGCACAUUGAUUUGAAUCUAUAUUGAUUGAUAUUCGAGUAGUGGUUUUUGUCUAGGUUCAUGUGAUUCAUGAGUGGUCAUGGGCUGGUACUCCCAACGAGGGUGCUGCUUGGCUUCGUCUGCAGAGACUAGCCGACACGUGGCAUCGGAUUCUUUUGAUUCCUGUCACUGGGGGUGUUAUAGUAGGAAUGAUGCAUGGUUUGCUUGAGAUCUUGGAUCAAAUAAGGCAGUCCACUUCUUCCCAAGGACAAGGUGUAGAUUUACUUGCUGGUAUGUUCCCAGUGAUAAAAGCCAUACAAGCUGCUGUGACCCUUGGUACAGGAUGUUCACUGGGUCCCGAGGGACCUAGCGUUGACAUUGGAAAGUCAUGUGCCAAUGGUUUUGCGCUAAUGAUGGAAAACAACAGAGAAAGGAGGAUAGCUCUCACUGCAGCUGGUGCGGCUUCUGGGAUUGCAUCUGGUAUGUUUAGACCUCUUCUAAAAUUGCUUAUGCCUCCUCCUCCAUAAUUGAUAUUUGUGUAUUAUUGGAUUGCCUAUGAACGGAAUAGCAGCACAGCUCGUUCACUCUAGUAUUUAUUGGUUCUUGAGAUCUUUUUGGCUUAUUCAAUCUUAAUGGCCCCUCGUUCUUUUUGCUCACUCUCUUGGUUCCAGAAUUUUGUAUGUACUGUAGCCUACAAAUGUGUCUAUGAAUCUUAGGUUCUAGCACUAGACAGAGCAUUUUGCUGGUAUUAAUUAAUGAUAAAGAGUUUACUUAUGGUUACUUUGAUAUUGGUUUCGUGUGUAUGUGUUUCUUACUAUAAUGAGACCACUGACACAGGCACUACAAUUAUUUGGUCUUUCCAAAAUGGAAAUUUCGUUCAUGGUUAUAAAUCUGAUUUACCGAUCGUUAUUUGUGGUUACAGGUUUUAAUGCAGCAGUGGCGGGUUGUUUCUUUGCUAUUGAGACUGUUUUAAGACCUCUGCGUGCCGAGAACUCGCCUCCAUUUACCACUGCAAUGAUAAUUUUGGCCUCUGUUAUAUCAUCGACUGUGUCGAAUGCGUUGCUUGGGACUCAAUCAGCUUUCACAGUCCCCUCGUAUGACCUGAAGUCCGCUGCAGGUAUGUUUUUCUUUGGCUUUUAAUCUCAAUUGUAAACUUUCAGUUAGUCUGGUGGUAUAAAUGAUCAGUAGCUUAUGAUCGAAUGUCCUGAUGGAUAGGGUAUGAUAUCAUAAAGAUGCUUGGUAUCUUUAAAUUACGAAGGCUGAUAUAUAUAUGCUUCAACUAGCAUUUUCUUAUAAGUUUCCCAACAUGUUUUCACUUGUCUCCAGAGCUCCCUCUGUACCUGAUAUUAGGAAUGCUGUGUGGUGCUGUCAGCGUUGUUUUUUCUUGGCUCGUCACGUGGUUUACCAAGUCAUUCGAGUUCAUCAAAGACAAAUUUGGCCUUCCUGCUAUUGUGUGCCCUGCAUUAGGUGGUUUAGGAGCUGGGAUGGUUGCUCUCAAGUACCCCGGAAUUUUGUACUGGGGGUUUACAAAUGUUGAGGAAAUCCUGCAUACGGGAACGAGUGCUUCAGCUCCUGGAAUUUGGUUAUUAGCUCAGUUAGCCGCAGCCAAAGUUGUGGCCACUGCUUUGUGCAAAGGCUCUGGGCUUGUAGGCGGUCUAUACGCACCAAGUUUGAUGAUUGGUGCUGCUGUUGGUGCUGUGUUUGGAGGUUCGGCUGCUGAGAUUAUUAACAGAGCAAUUCCUGGUAAUGCUGCUGUGGCUCAACCGCAAGCUUACGCUCUGGUAUUGUUUUACCUUUGAUGCAGGCCUUUACUUCAAUGCAUCUUUUUCUAAUUCUGAUAGUGCCCACUUCUGUUGUUACUGAUUUUGACUCAUCAAGAUGUCCUCAUUUAUGUGAUGCAGGUUGGCAUGGCAGCGACACUAGCUUCCAUGUGCUCAGUCCCCUUAACAUCAGUAUUACUGCUGUUCGAGCUAACAAAAGAUUAUAGAAUUUUGCUUCCUCUCAUGGUAACCAUACGUUUUUCCCUUUCAGUUUCUUUCUGGUGCUUAGAUAACAUGUGGUACUAUCAAAUAUAACAUGUGGUAAAAUCGCUUAGAGGGGUGAGAUUCAAGAAAUGCUUCCCUAGUUGGCUUGUUUAGCUGAUCGAGCAAUAAAGCUUCUCUUGAAACUAUGAAAUGAACCAGUUAUCAUUUUUCGCUAUUAUAAUGUUUUUAACCAGAGGUAGUUUAUACGGAUAGAGAGCGAUAAGUAUCUUAAAAUCUUUAUCAUGUUUGUUCAUGAUCUGAUAUGCAUCUCUGUUUCCUCUAACAGGGAGCGGUUGGUUUAGCAAUAUGGGUCCCCUCUGUGGUAAACCAAGACAAAGAGAGUGAUUCUUCAGAGGGUCGCAACGCAGGAAGAGGAUACUCUACUCUUUCACCGUCCCAUCUUAAAACCGAAGGCAUUUGGAGACGCACGGAUAAUGCAAACUCCCUUGAGCUUACCGUGAUGGAGAACCCUGACCACAAAUCCUUCUUGGAUGAAGAAACUAUUCUGGACGACUUAAAGGUUUUGCGGGUUAUGCCAAAGAACUAUGUGAAGGUUUGUCUGGGAACAACUCUAAGAGAAGCAAGAAACAUUCUUAAAGACAGCCACCAAAACUGCCUUGUGGUGGUCGAUGAAGAUGAUUUUCUAGCCGGAAUCCUAACACAUGGAGACAUUAGACGUUGCUUGUCCAAUAAGGUCUCUCCAAUUGUAGAUGUAAGCAGUGAAACAUAACAAACUCUCCUGUCUCUUUUUUUUUGGCAAUGGAGUUGAAUGAACCUUGUUUGUUGCAGGAGAAUACAUGUACGGUUUCCUCAGUGUGUACUAAGAAAAUAACGUAUAGAGGCCAAGAACGCGGUUUGAUUACUUGCUAUCCAGACACGACGGUCGGUGUGGCCAAAGAGUUAAUGGAGGCAAGAGGUGUGAAGCAACUACCUGUAGUAAAACGAGGUGAAGUAAGUCACAAAGGGAAAAAGAGGAAACUGCUUGGCCUUCUUCAUUAUGACUCCAUCUGGACUUUUCUCAGGUAAUUAUAAAAGUUUUCUCUUUUACCUUUAUUGCCCAUUUAACCUUCAAACACUCCAUUGUCUGUUGGUGUUUGCGUGUGUUGAUAUAUUUAAUUCAUAAUCUUAAGCAAAACUAACUCCUUUUGUUACGCAGAGAUGAGAUGAGUCGUAGGAGAUCGAUCAACGAGCGGAGAAAAGAUAAGUACGAGGAGGUUGGUGCGGCAAAUGUGCAUUGAUAUGGGUUUGUGCCAAUCUGGUAUAGUUUUUUUUUUUUUUUUAAUUUCUUAUGUGCAAUUGAUUAGAACGGAGGAAAACAUGAUCGUAAAAUAAUACCUCUUUAUUAGUUUUUUGAAAUAUUUUUCUCGCAAAAGUAACACUCUCUUAUCAUAUACUCAAAUAGAAAGCUAGUGUGUAACAUACAUACACCAUUUGUUGGGUGAGAAAAAUGUAAUAUCAUUAGUUCUUAGCAAGCCUUGUGAAUUGUGAUACUUGGAAUCGUAAAUUCUAUAAGUGACUGACACAAUGAAUUCUCUUAUAUGGUUUCUUCGUUUAUUAAGGUUUAUAUAGCAUUUAUUUGACAAAAAAAGCAUUUAUUGACCUUUGCAUUUCUUUCAUAGAAUUGCUUUUCUUUUUGCAUGUAUGUGAUGUACAACUGUUAAUUUAAGUUGUGAAUUUAAAAAGGUUUUUUUUUACCUUGAUGGAUAAAUCAUAUACAGAAGAUCCAGAAAGAUAACGCAAUGACUGGUAAUGGACCCUUGCGUUAAUCAUUUUCACUAAAAAGAGCUUUAAUUUACAGUAAAAUUUGGUAAUAAAAAGAGACAAGACUAACAAAUAGCUGACUAAUUUGAUUGGGAGUGUGAUUGAAUUUUCUGGUCAUACAUAUAUUGGUAAGUGGGUGACAAAUGAUUAAUUUAAAACGCUUAACUUUUUCUUCACUAUUAUUAGGUCGGUCCUUAACGUCAAACAAAGAAUGAAUAUGGUUUUUCAACAUUCUGGUUGAGACCCACAAUUAAAGUGCAAAAAUAGUCUUAGCAUCUUCCAAUCUGUCAAUUGAAAACAGCUUAGUAUAAAAGUGUAACUAAAAAUUCAAUUUAAUUUAAAAUGAUUUAUUUCUCGAAAAAUCAUUUUCCAUAUGUGAACUUCUUUUUGCAUUUGAAACUUGAAAGAUGUCAAGAGACAUGCAUGCAACUAUUCUUCAGUUUCCAUUUAGCUAAUCUUGAUAAUGAUAUGCUGGACCAUUAAAAUGUCCUUUUCCACCUUUUUCUAUUUCUUCUUUUGCAAGCUAUAUAUGGCCUAAUGAGAAUAAGAAAAUAAAUACAUACCUAGUAUAGUUUCGGCAAAUAAGACGAAUUUUUAUAUAUCAAACUUGUAAGUGAACAUUUUAAAUUUUAUUUUUAGAUAUAUUUUGAAAUUUAUUGAGAUGAAGAUUAACAAUUAUUCACACAAUUUAUUUUAAAUUAUGCUUAUUUGAAUUAAAAAUAAAUAUUCGUAAAGGUUAAAGUCGUAGAUUUUGAUGGUUUUCACCUUUUGCUAGAAAAGUAACAGUUUAUAUUUAAUUAACUAAAUUAUCCGACUGAUUUUUUUUCUUUUCAAAAUUUUAUAUUUUAUUCUAGUCCUUGAAUAAUUUAACAUUACACUGUAUAAAAAUAAAUAUACUUAGUGGGCAUGGGAGAAUCUUUUAGAGUAGAAAGAGGUCAUAAAAUAUGCGCUCGUGCGGUAGAGUAUACUGACAAAAUUGGUACACGGCCCAACCCUACGCCCACGCGCGUCGAAACCGUUUCCGACUUUUCAUAAAACCCCUUCUUAUUUUAUUUAACUUACUAUCUAACCUACUAAUAAUAAACUUACUUCCUAGGACCCUUGUCUUUUUCCUGCCCCAUUUUUAAAAUUAAAAAUUCUCGACCCUAUUCUCAUUUACAUCGGACAUCACACAAGCUAAGUAGGUUUAAAAUGAUACUCUAGUUUUCCUAUUUUCUAUGUGUAUAAACUAUGUUAUAUGUUAACACUUCAAGAAAUUUGUUUGUCUUUUCUCCGUAAUCUCUAGCUCAUUUUUACAUGUAGAUGGAUGUCACGGGUUUUUGAAAUUAAUGUUCCUGUUUGUACAUAUAUAUAUAUAUAUAUGUAUAUGUGCUAUGGACGAGUAAAUAAAUCUCAUUUAACAUAAGCAUAUAUUAGACUUCAUUAUAUAAGUUUGCUGUAAAAAUAUAUAUCUUAAACGUUAAAUAUUAUUACACAAUUUUUUUGACAUCGACAAAACUCAAUUAUUAAGCAAAAAGAAAAAAACUCAAUUUUUGCUAAAUUUAAUUUUUUUUUAAAGCAGUAAAAUUAGAUGGAUCAAAAGUUUUUCAACUUGUUUUAGUUAAUUAAAAUAAAUGUGUAUAACUAUAAAAAAUAUCUGUAAGGUAAGCCUGGGCAUUCGGGUCUUCGGGCCGGAUUCGGACGCAUUCCUUUCAGGUUUGUGUCUUUCGGAUCCCAAAUAUUUAGUUUUAAUAGGUAUUUAAAAAUUUUCGGUUCGGGUUCGUAUCGGUUCUUCUCGGGUCCGGAUCGGUUCGGAUCUAUAACUAAAAUACCAUAAAAUAUCCGUAAUUUUUCGGGUCUAUAUCAGAUCCGGAUAUUUAGGAUGUGAAAAGGACAUGACAUACCCAAUUCCAUCAAAUUUAGCUGAUAUUUGUCAUAUAUAUCUAUAAUUUUACAAAAUAACUUAAAUGAAACUAUUAAUAAUUAAAAUAAAAUAUUUUAAACUCUAAAUUUUACAUUUUAAGCUUCAUAUUAUUUAAAAAAUGUUACGAAAUAAUAACAAAUAUUGUUAACAAAAGAUAUUUCAACUAAACCAUAAAGUAAUUUAUAUAAAAUAUAACACAAAAUCAUCAUAGUAUUAGAUAUACAUAUUUUUAAGUCGGGUAUAAAUUAGUUCUUAUCGGGUCGGGUCUAUUCAAGUCGGUUUUUUUGGGUCCGAGUCUAUUCGGAUCGGUUCCUUUCGAUUCCGGUUCUUUCGAGUAAAAAAAAUUUAAACCCAAAAAAUACUUAUAAAUUUUCGAUCCAGUUCCAAAUCGAAUAUUUUUUGAUUGGUUCCAAUUCGGGUUUUUCGGAUCCACGUUAAAAUGCCUAGGCCUACUGCAAGGAAGUUUCUCUUAGUUAUACUCACUGCACUUUGAUACUCGAAAGACUAGCUAAUACAGCUAUAUUUCAUUAUUAUUAUUAUUUUUUGCUACGAACUAUUUCAUUAUUUAUAGAUGCGGUUUAGGUAGAAACUGGAUAAAAUGCGACAGUUGCCAAAAGUUAAGCGGCAACUAUAUAAAUAAAGACAAUACGCGGGGCCGCUAACUAAUAUACAAAAGAAAACGAGGACCAUAAACAAAUUAUAAUAACCAUACUACUUGUUAAAUUCAUUUGAAUUAAAAUAAGCUUAGUGCUUGGUGCCGUGUAGGGUUAGAAAGUUGCAUAAAUGCGUAGAAACAUACGAAAAAUAAGGGAAAAAGUAGGCCUUUAUCGUAACAAUCGUCAAUCUUUUUAAAAAAUCAUAUUUCUUUCUUUCUUUGAACUAUAUGUUAGAGCAGAGAGACAGCUAUUUACUUACAUGGGAACGAGAGACCUUAUAAUCAUCUUUACAUACGUGCCGGGUAAUUCAUCUAACCCCCAAAACAAGCAAGAUUUAGACUAAUAAUACAAUAAUAUUAAUCAUAAAUUUCGCCGUGAAAUUCGACCUUAACUAAUUUGUGAAACAUUAUUUUCAUGAUUAAAGUAAUACGAGAUAAUUGAUGAUUAGACAGAGAUUAUAAAGAGAAAAUUAAUCUUUAGUAUCAUGAUUAUGUUUUCUCUUCUUUUCUGGAGGAUUAUGUCUUCAUUUUUUUCUGCUUUUUCUUUUCCUACUUUUUCUUCUUCCUUUAUUUACCAAUUUUUCUUAUUAUUAUAUUUUUGUUUGCAAUUUUCCGGCAAAGAGAAUAUUAUUUUUGAAUUAAUAAAAGAAAUCCUUCAUUUUUUUACAACAAUUAGACCAUUGGUAUUUCUUUCCAAACAAGGACACCCAUUAGCUCUUCAUUUACGCAAGAUCAAAAAGGAAAAUUCUUUCUUCUUUUUUUUUCCUGGGAGAAUUCUUGUUUUGUUCCUGAAAAAUCACCUUUUUUUCUUUUCUUUCUCUCUUCUUGGUGAACUGGUCUUGCUAAAAAAGGUUUCCUCUCUAUGUAAACACUUCUUCUCACUACGGAAUCUUAAACCAUCUGAUUUUGGAAAGAGAGAAAAAAAAUAUCCAACUUUUGUUGUUUUCAGUCCGACCAUCUCUGCAACAUCGUACUUGAGAGCAGAAACACUAUCUUAAAACAAUUUCUCUUGUCUUCUUCACUAGUGAUACUCUGUCUCUCUCUAUUCUUCCAGUCACAGUCACAAUCGUCUCUGUCAAACUUAGGUUAUACUCUUUGUUUUCUUCUUGAACAAGGUUCAUAUAUGUAUAUCAACUCUUUCUUGAUUAAAAAUUGUUUCUUUGCCGUUUUUUUCUUUCUAAAAGCUCACUUUGUUUUUUAUUUUAUUUUCAGAUUCCAAGCUCUGGAGGAACUGAGUACAGUAAAUGAAUCAGAACAAGUCAGAAGAAGAUCCUUACUCCUUUUGAGUAUCAUCAAUCUCUAUAAAGCCUCUGAUCGAAACACUUGGUGUGGAAAUGAAGCUCUUAUCGUUAAUCCUCUGUUUCUCCGCAACUCUUCUAGUGAUGACCACUCAUGGCAAAAGACUAAUCAGCGACCAAGACAACUCCUACGAAACUGCUCUGUUAACGGCGUUCAAGCAAACCUCCGUCAAGUCCGAUCCUAACAACAUCCUCGGUAACUGGAAACACGUGUCGGGCCGUGGCUCGUGCUCCUGGCGAGGCGUUUCUUGCUCUGACUACGGUCGAGUCAUCGGGUUGGACCUACGAAACGGCGGACUCACCGGUACCCUAAGCCUAGUUAACCUCACGGCGUUAACUAGUCUCGAGAAUCUUUACCUACAAGGAAACGAUUUCUCUUCUGGUUCUGUUUCCUCCUCCUCCGGCGACGGCUGUUAUCUUCAGAAUCUUGAUUUGUCUUCGAACUCGUUAUCCGAUUAUUCAAUGGUUGACUACGUCUUCUCGACAUGUACCAAUCUCGUUUCCGUGAAUUUCUCGAACAACAAGCUCACCGGAAAACUAGGCUCUCCUCCGUCGUCUAAAACCUUGACGACCGUUGAUCUCUCCUACAACAUCUUAUCCGAAGACAUCCCGGAGAGUUUCAUCCCCGCGUCGCUGAAAUACCUCGACCUAACUCACAACAACUUCUCCGGCGACUUCUCCGAUCUCUCCUUCGGGUUCUGCGGCAACCUCACCUUCCUCAGCCUUUCGCAGAACAACAUCUCCGGCGAUCACUUCCCUCUUUCUCUAACCAACUGCAAACUCCUCGAGACGCUGAACAUCUCCCGGAACAACCUCGCCGGAAAAAUCCCCGGCGGCGGAGAGUACUGGGGAAGCUUCCAGAAUCUGAAACACCUCUCCCUCGCUCACAACCGUUUCUCCGGCGAAAUCCUGCCGGAGCUUUCUCGGCUCUGCAGAACGCUGGAGACUCUCGAUCUCUCCGGAAACUCUCUUUCCGGCGAGCUUCCUCCGCAGUUCGCGGCCUGCGUGUCGCUACAGAGCCUUAACCUCGGAAACAACUUCCUCUCCGGCGAGUUCUUAACCACCGUCGUGAGUAAAAUUCAGGGGAUCGCGUAUCUGUACGUGGCGUACAACAACAUCUCAGGCUCUGUUCCGAGUUCGCUCACCAACUGCACAAACCUCCGUGUUCUUGAUCUAAGCUCGAAUGGCUUCACAGGGAACCUUCCCUCUGGUUUCUGCAGCUAUUCACCGCUUCUUGAAAAGCUUCUCAUGGCUAACAACUACCUCUCGGGAACAGUUCCUAUGGAGCUCGGCAUGUGCAAGAGCUUGAAGACGAUCGAUCUCAGCUUCAACGCUCUCACGGGACCGAUUCCGAAUGAGGUAUGGAUGUUGCCGAACCUCUCUGAUUUGGUCAUGUGGGCGAACAAUCUCACCGGGAGAAUCCCGGAAGGUGUUUGCGUCAAAGGAGGGAACUUGGAGACUCUCAUCCUCAACAACAAUCUCUUAACCGGUUCAAUCCCUGACUCAAUCUCCAAAUGCACCAACAUGAUAUGGAUCUCUCUUUCAAGCAACCGGUUGACCGGGACCAUCCCUAGCGGAAUCGGUUAUCUCACCAAACUAGCAAUCUUGCAGCUCGGGAACAACUCCUUGUCCGGGAGCGUCCCACCUCAGCUCGGGGACUGCAAGAGCCUAAUCUGGCUCGAUCUCAACAGCAACAAUCUAACCGGGCCACUCCCUGGCGAGCUAGCUAGCCAGGCCGGGCUAGUAAUGCCAGGGAGUGUUUCAGGUAAACAGUUUGCGUUUGUGAGGAACGAAGGCGGUACUGAUUGCAGAGGUGCGGGAGGACUAGUUGAGUUUGAAGACAUUCGUGCUGAACGGCUGGAGCGGUUUCCGAUGGUUCAUUCGUGUCCCGCGACGCGGAUAUACUCAGGGAUGACAAUGUAUACUUUCUAUGCAAACGGAAGCAUGAUCUACUUCGACGUCUCGUACAACUCUGUGUCCGGUUUUAUACCUCCCAGUUAUGGUAACAUGGGGUACCUCCAGGUCUUGAAUUUGGGACAUAACCGGUUAACCGGAACCAUACCGGACAGUCUUAGAGGACUGAAAGCUAUUGGUGUUCUUGAUCUCUCUCACAAUGAUCUUCAAGGGUACAUCCCCGGGUCGCUCGGGUCGCUUUCUUUCCUAAGCGAUCUUGAUGUCUCUAACAACAACCUCACCGGUCCGAUCCCAUUUGGUGGCCAGCUUACAACGUUCCCUGUCACAAGAUACGCAAACAACUCCGGCCUCUGCGGCGUUCCUUUGCGUCCCUGCGGGUCUGCUCCUCGGCGGCCCGUUACAGCCCAAGUCCACCCCAAGAAGCAGACCGUUGCAACCGCUGUGAUCGCUGGAAUCGCGUUUUCCUUCAUGUGUCUUGUGAUGCUAGUCAUGGCACUUUACAGGGCGUGGAAAGUUCAGAAGAAGGAACAGAAGAGGGAGAAGUUCAUUGAGAGCCUUCCCACUUCUGGAAGCUGUAGCUGGAAGCUCUCUAGCGUCCCUGAGCCGCUUAGCAUCAACGUUGCCACGUUCGAGAAGCCGCUGAGAAAACUCACUUUCGCGCAUCUUCUUGAAGCCACAAACGGGUUUAGCGCAGAGACUAUGAUCGGUUCUGGCGGGUUCGGAGAAGUCUACAAGGCUCAGCUCAAAGACGGGUCAACGGUAGCAAUCAAGAAGCUGAUCCGAAUCACGGGGCAAGGCGAUAGAGAGUUCAUGGCAGAGAUGGAAACAAUCGGUAAAAUCAAACACAGAAACUUGGUUCCUCUUUUGGGAUACUGCAAGAUCGGUGAAGAGAGGCUUCUUGUCUAUGAGUACAUGAAAUGGGGAAGCUUAGAAACUGUUCUUCACGAGGUAUCAAGAAAAGGCGGCGUGUUUCUAAACUGGGCCGCGAGGAAGAAGAUCGCGGUUGGAGCUGCAAGAGGUCUAGCGUUUCUGCAUCAUAGCUGCAUUCCUCACAUAAUACACAGAGACAUGAAGUCUAGCAACGUUCUUCUCGACGAAAACUUGGAAGCACGUGUCUCGGACUUCGGUAUGGCGAGGCUGGUUAGCGCGCUAGACACACAUCUGAGCGUGAGCACGCUGGCAGGUACUCCAGGGUACGUUCCGCCGGAGUAUUACCAGAGUUUCAGGUGUACAGCUAAAGGGGAUGUUUACAGCUACGGAGUGAUACUUCUUGAGCUUCUCUCUGGUAAGAAACCGAUCGAUCCAGGGGAGUUUGGAGAAGACAAUAACCUUGUCGGGUGGGCGAAACAGCUCUACAGAGAGAAAAGAGGAGUUGAGAUUCUCGACCAGGAGCUUGUAACAGAGAAAUCAGGAGACGUUGAGCUGUUUCACUACUUGAAGAUCGCGUCUCAGUGUUUGGACGAUCGACCGUUUAAGCGGCCAACAAUGAUACAAGUGAUGGCCAUGUUCAAAGAGCUUAAGGCUGAUUCAGCAGAGGAAGAUGAUAGUCUUGAUGAGUUUUCGCUUAAGGAAACUCCGUUGGUGGAAGAGUCACGAGAGAUAAGGAGCCUUAAGAUAUAGAGGAAUCAGAUGCUAUGUUCUAAAUUUUGGUGUCAGUGUGUAUAUAACUGAAGAAGCUCCAGCGAGAAGGUUAAGAUUGAGAAGAAGAAAUUUAUUCCAGCUGUUAAGCUUGUGAUUUUCGCUUGGAGGCCUUUUUUCUGUUGUCAUUGGUUAACUUGUUAAGCACGGUAAGAGAAGUACCUCAUUAUAAACUUUUGUAAGUUUCGAUUUUGAAAAACGAUUGGUGGAUCUGUGGCGUGAAGUAAUGGAUCAUUUUCUCACAUAACUCGUUUAAUAUCGUUUAUACCCUGAUCUGGGAAAGUGAUGAAAUAAAAAACAUGUAAAAAGAGUUGACUAAACUAACAAAGUGUCAUUGUAUUUUCCUUUGGAUGUGUUUCUUUACACCCAUGGUAUGAACACACAAUCUGAAUUAGCAGCCGGAGAAAAACACCACAGUGAUGAAAAGUGUAUGUUUGAUUAAAGCCAAGAAGGGUUCUUUGAGCUGGCGGUUGAGAGAACUCAAGAAUGCUGUUACUUACAAAGAUGUAGAAAUUCAAUCAUUACGACAAAGAUUCCCCACGUCAGGUAGAAGUAAAAAAUUAACCAGUUGGAACAAGGUCAAGGACAACAUGGAAGUGUGAGCAUUUCGCCAACUUCUAACUUUUCGUUUGCCACUACGCCGCAUCAACAAGGAAUAUAGACAUGAAGAGAACACCUGCAAGAACAAAGUCAAAUGAGGUUAGGGCUGAAAUUUGCAGACGUUGAUGAUAAUCCGAGAACAAAGAUUCCAAAUAUGGAAGACAAAGUUAGUGCAGAUAUUGAGGCGGUGUUGGAAGAAAAUCUCGAGUUAUGGAGAAGAUUUUAGCUAGAAUGCUGCGACCGCGGGCACAAAGGCCAUAAACUUUUAAAGUAGUUUAUUCUAAAGUAGUUUAACGAAAAUCACUUUAAACUAUCCAAUUGAUUGAAAUCAUCUAAAAAUCAAAUCACCUCAAACUUUAAAACUUUAUAUUGAAUAUACCCCCUCCUAAAGAGAGUUUUCCAUCGUUAAUGAGACUAACAAACAAACAUUUGUGGCUUCGUUACUUCAACUCAGCCUCCAGUUUUUCUUCAAUUUUGAUAUGUACAUCUAUAUAUCAGACAAUGAGAAUCAUUGUUAGCAACGAGGAAAAACAAAAUCAUUGGCUUUUUCUUACCUUUAUCUUCUCAUAUUGAGUAACCCUGUACUUGUAAAAACUCCUCAAUUACUGCACAAAAUCCGAUGUAGAAGUUAGUAUACGUUUAUGGUUAAGAAGGGAAUGAGACAGAAGAAUCUGGAUUUUCACUUUCUUUCUAAUGGAGACUUGUAUCCUGUUAUAGUCUCUUUUGGGAUAAAGAGAUACAUUCUCGUUGUGGAAAAUGUCAACUCGAGACAGAAAGCUUUAUGCAAAUUUUCCCCAGCAAUCCUCAUGUUAUUGGAUGUCAAUUUGAUCUAAAAUUCAAAGCUUGUACCGGAGAUUUCUUUCGAGAACUCCUGCCGAAAAGGGGACAGUUAAAACAAAGAUACAUUAAAACUACUUAUGUGAGUAAAGAAACCAUAAAUACCUUGAUAAAGCCCUUCUUUUUCAACCUUUCCAGGAUUCUCAUAUACACCCGCAUUGUCAAGACCAUGACACAUACCGUCUCAUCAUCUGUUUUUUGAACUACAACUUUGGUUUUGUAUCUCCCCUUAACAAAUUGAAAUAACUCACAAGUAACGGUAUCUAAGGCCAUAGCUCCAUUUAUUGAUGCGUCUACAAAUACCUCUCUUACAGCGAGUCCUACUCCAGCUGAGAUAUGGUUUGCCUUAUUCUCGAUAUAUCCGGACAAAGCUCCUGGUCCGGAUGGCUUUUCCGCAUGCUUAUUCCAGUCACAUUGGGAAACAGUCGGCCCUGCGAUAUGUUUGGAUAUCCAGGCCUUCUUUAGAACCAGAUCCCUGUGCUCGAUCUCAAACACAACUAACAUCUGCCUCAUUCCCAAAUUGGCCAGCCCCAAGCAAGUAUCGGAGUACCAGAUAGCUUUAUGUAAUGUCAUUUAUGUUACAUGGAAACGGAAGCGGGUACGCGGAAGCGUUAUAAAGAGGGUACGUGUUGGAAUCAUAUAUAUAUAUAUACCAAAAUUAAUUUAUUUGAUAAAAUAGUUAUAUAUAAUAGCUAGCAUUAAUAUUAUAUGGUAACUAGAUAUGUAUUAUGCAUAGUUGAAACUUGAAACUUUGAAUGCGUGAGUUCUAUAGGAGAAGACAAAAAUGAGAACUAUAUUUGGUUUGAUUGAAAUCACUCUCUCACUUGGAAUCCUUUCAAUCUCUCUCUCAUUGUAUAUAUCUUUAUAAAACCACUUGCCAUCAUCCUUGGAUGAACUACCAAUGCAAUAGGAUGGACUGGUCUUGCUGGUAUCCUAGAAAUCUAUAGAUACUCGCAAACUCUAGACUCAUAUCCAUAAUAUACUUUCUGCCUAAUUUCCAAAAAAAAGAGUACAUGUAGUAACUUUUUCCAAAUAUUUUAUUCUUUUCAAUGUUUACAUAAUAUGCACUCAACAUUGUAAGUAAGUUGUUUGGCAUAAAUAUAGUACACAUGCAUGAGUAUGAAAAUACGCAAAUGUUGCAUUGAAACGAACAGAAUGUACAUAAUAUGUUCACACAUGAACUCCUACAAUCCCUCAGGCACUCCGAAGCCCGUAUAAAUUGCUCUAUGGUAGUUAAAACUGACAUGAACAAAGCUUACGACCGAUUAGAAUAGAAGUUCAUCGAGGACCCAAUCUUUGUAGCAAGGAUCAUGACUUGUAUAACCUCGGUCUCUUAUUCAUUCCUCAUCUAUGACUCAGUCCAUGGAAAAGUAAUCCCUUCCCCCGGAAUUAGACAAGGCGACCCUCUCUCACCGUGUAUUUUCAUACUAUGAAGAGAAAUCCUUUCCGGUCUUUGGCGGCAAUCCCAACAAAAUGGACAUCUAACGGGUCUAAGAGCGGGGAGACAUUCACCAUGUAUCUAUUGUUUGCCGAUGACACUAUGUUUUCUGUAAAAUCAGACAGUGAUAGUUUCCUAAAGAACUUUCCUUUUUUGAAUUUUUUUAAAAUCUAUGGGUUAAUAACCCCUACGAAAAUAUUUAUUUUUUGGUAAAUGCUCUAUAUAUUGAAGCCUAUGAUUUUUCGUGCUGUUUCUAGAAAUCUAUAGAUACUCGCAAACUCUAGACUCAUAUCCAUAAUAUACUUUCUGCCUAAUUUCCAAAAAAAAGAGUACAUGUAGUAACUUUUUCCAAAUAUUUUAUUCUUUUCAAUGUUUACAUAAUAUGCACUCAACAUUGUAAGUAAGUUGUUUGGCAUAAAUAUAGUACACAUGCAUGAGUAUGAAAAUACGCAAAUGUUGCAUUGAAACGAACAGAAUGUACAUAAUAUGUUCACACAUGAACUCCUACAAUCCCUCAGGCACUCCGAAGCCCGUAUAAAUUGCUCUAUGGUAGUUAAAACUGACAUGAACAAAGCUUACGACCGAUUAGAAUAGAAGUUCAUCGAGGACCCAAUCUUUGUAGCAAGGAUCAUGACUUGUAUAACCUCGGUCUCUUAUUCAUUCCUCAUCUAUGACUCAGUCCAUGGAAAAGUAAUCCCUUCCCCCGGAAUUAGACAAGGCGACCCUCUCUCACCGUGUAUUUUCAUACUAUGAAGAGAAAUCCUUUCCGGUCUUUGGCGGCAAUCCCAACAAAAUGGACAUCUAACGGGUCUAAGAGCGGGGAGACAUUCACCAUGUAUCUAUUGUUUGCCGAUGACACUAUGUUUUCUGUAAAAUCAGACAGUGAUAGUUUCCUAGCUCUUGCGGACAUACUCCAAACGUACGAGGCAGCAACGGGCCAAAAACUUAAUACAGCUAAAUCAUCUAUCUCAUUCUCAGCAAAAACACCACAGAGGACAUGCCUUAGUGUUCAUUAUAUCCUCGGUAUUGCUAAUGAAGGAGGAGUGAGAAAGUAUUUGGGCUUGACAGAACACGUUGGAAGACGUAAAAAAACUCUUCACAAGCAUUGUUGAUCGUAUCAAACUAAAAGCAAACAGCUGGUCGUCGAAACGGCUCUUGAGUGGGGGUAAACUAGUAAUGCUCAAGUCCGUCUGUACUGCUAUCCCAUCAUACACUAUGAUUUGCUUUCAGCUUCCUAUGAGUUUAUGUAAGCGAAUCCAAUCGACUCUUACACGAUUUUGGUGGGAUACAAAAUGAAAACGAAAGGAAGAUGUCUUGGGUUUCAUGGACCAAAAUCAUCAAUCCUAAGGCGCUCUAUUAGGCUUGGGUGUGAGAGACAUACAAGCUUUUAACACCACACUCCUCGCUAAACAAGCUUGGAGAGUUGUAACUAAACCCGAUUGCCUCCUAUCCCGUGUCUUGAGAGGACGAUACUGCAUCAACGGCUCCUUCCUGAGAACCACUCCCACUGCAUCUUCAUCACAUGGUUGGAAAGGAGUACUGUUAGGAAGAGAUCUUUUCCUCAAAGGUUUGGGAAAAGCCAUUAGUAAUGGAGAAACUACGAGUGUGUGGCGUGACCCUUGGGUAACUGCACUCAAACAUCUUAUUUCUAUUAUAUUAUUUGAGAAGUCAGUUUUCUACGUGUCGCGCUCACAUCAAUUAUUACAGUAGUUAAUUACAGGGUUAACCUUAAUGAAAUACAUAUAUUAUAUUGUAAUUGCCAUUAUUAUUAUUAUUAAACUAAUUUCCUUUUCUUUUAUUUAAAUUGGUUGACUAACCACUAUAAAACCGUUAUUCUCUAGAAAAGCGAAGACCACAAAGGUUCCAAACCUCUUUGACCUUCAUCAUGUGUUAGUGAAGGAUGCAACUUUUCAUUAAAAUAGAAUUUUCAUUUUUCCGUAAAUUCUCUAUAUACUGAAGCCUAUGAUUUUUAGUGUAGUUUUAAAAUUUUUAAAUAUUUUCUACAUUUGUAUUAAUGUAUAUUAAACUCUCUUUAAUAGUACAUGAGCAUCGUUUAAAUAUUUUUGUCAAUUAAUUUAGUAGAACUGCAUAAUACUCCCUAAAUUGGUUGACUAACCACUAUAAAAUUGCUAUUCCCUAGAAAAACAGAGACAACAAAAGUUCCAAACCUCUUUGACCUUCAUCAUAUGUUAGUGAAAGAUGCAACUAUGCAUUUAAAUAUAAUAUUUUUUUUUUGAAUUUUUCUCAAAAUCUAUGGGUUAACAAACCCUACGAAAAUAUUUAAUUUUUUGGUAAAUGCUCUAUAUACUGAAGCCUAUGAUUUUUGGUGUAGUUUUAAAAUUUUUAAACACAUUCAACAUUUGUAUUAAUGUAUAUUAAAGUUUCUUUCAUGGUACAUGAGCAUCGUUCAAAUUUUAUGUUAGUUUAUUUAGUAAAACUUCACAAUACUCCCUAAAUUGGUUGACUAACCACUAUAAAAUUGCUAUUCUAUAGAAAAACGGAGACCACAAAGGUUCCAAACCUCUUUGACCUUCAUCAUAUGUUGGUGAAUGAUUCAAAUAUGCAUUAAAAUAGAAUUUUCAUUUUUUUUUUAUUUUUCUCAAAAUCUAUUUGAUAAUUCAUACGAAAAUAUUUAAUUAUUUGGUAAAUGCUCUAUAUACUGAAAGCCUAUUAUAUUUUUGUGCUGUUUUAAAUUUCUAAACACAUUAUACAUUUAUAUUAAUUUAUAUUAAACUCACUUUCAUGGUACAUGGACAUCGUUUAAUUUUUUUGUUAAUUAAUUUAGAAAAAGUUCAUAAUACUCCAUAAAUUGGUUGACUAACCACUAUAAAAUUGCUAUUCUGUAGAAAAACGGAGACAACAAAGGUUCCAAACCACUUUGACCUUCAUCAUAUGUUAGUGAAGGAUGCAACUAUGCAUUAAAAUAGAAUUUUCAUUUUUUUUGAAUUUUUCUCAAAAUCUAUGGGUUAACCCUACGAAAGUAUUUAUUUUUGCGGUAAAUGCUCUAUAUACUGAAGCGUAUGAUCUUUACUGUUGUUUUAAAAUUUCUAAACACAUUCUACAUUUGUAUUAAUGUAUAUUAAAAUUUCUUUCAUGGUACAUGAGCAUCUUUAAAUUUUUUUGUUAAUUAAUCUAGUAAAACUUCAUAAUACUCCCUAAAUUGGUUGACUAACCAAUAUAAAACCGCUAUUCUCUAGAAAAGCAGAGACCGCAAAGGUUCCAAACCUCUUUGACCUUCAUCAUAUGUCAGUGAAGGAUGCAACUAUGCAUUAAAAUAUAAUUUUUUUUUAAAUUUUUCUCAAAAUCUAUUGGUUAACCCCUACAAAAAUAUUUAUUUUUUCCGUAAAUGCUCUAUAUACUGAAGCCUAUAAUAUUUAGUGUUGUUUUAAAAUUUUUAAACACAUUCUACAUUUGUGUUAAUGUAUAUGAAACUCUCUUUCAUGUUACAUGGGCAUCGUUUAAUUUUUUUGUCAAUUAAUUUAGUAAAACUUCAUAACACCCCCUAAAUUGGUUGACUAACCACUAUAAACUCGCUAUUUAUAGAAACACGGAGACCACAAAGGUUCCAACCUCUUUGACCUUCAUCAUAUGUCAGUAAAGGAUGCAACUAUGCAUUAAAAUAUAAAUUUCGUCUUUUUUUGAAUUUUUCUCAAAAUCUAUGGGUUAACUAACCCCUACGAAAAAUUUAACGUUUCGGUAAAUGCUCUAUAUAUUGAAGCCUAUGAUAUUUACAAUUGUUUUAAAAUUUAUAAACACAUUCUACAUUUGUAUUAAUGUAUAUUAAACUUUUUUUCAUGGUACAUGAGAAUUGUUUAAAUUUUUUGUCAAUUAAUUUAGUAAAAGUUCAUAAUACUCUCUAAAUUGGUUGACUACCACUAUAAAACCGCUAUUCGCUAGAAAAGCGGAGACCACAAAUGAUCCAAACUUCUUUGACCUUCAUCAUACAUUAGUGAAGGAUGCAAAUAUACAUUAAAAUAGAAUUUUCUUUUUUUUUUGAAUUUUUCUCAAAAUUUAUAGGUUAACCCCCUACGAAAAUAUUUAAUUUUUCGUUAAAUGCUCUAUAUAUUUAAGCCAAAGAUCUUUACUGUUGUUUUAAAAUUUCUAAACACAUUCUACAUUUCUAUUAAUGUAUAUUAAACUUUCUUUCAUGGUACAUGGGAAUCGUUUAAAUUUUUUGUCAAUUAAUUUAGUAAACGUUCAUAAUACUUCCUAAAUUGAUUGACUACCACUAUAAAACCGCUAUUCACUAGAAAAGCGGAGACCACAAAUGUUCCAAACCUAUUUGAUUUUCAUCAUAUGUUAGUGAAUGAUGCAACUAUGCAUUAAAAUAGAAUUUUCAUUUUUCUUUAUUUUUUCUCAAAAUCUAUGGGUUAACCCCUACAAAAAUAUUAAUUUUUCGGUAAAUGCUCUAUAUACUGAAGCCUAUGAUUUUUGGUGUAGUUUUAAAAAUUUUAAAAACAUUUUACAUUUGUAUUAAUGUAUAUUAAACUCUAUUUAAUGGUUCAUGGGAAUCGUUUAAAUUUUUUGACAAUUAAUUUAGUAAAAGUUCAUAAUACUCCCUAAAUUGGUUGAUUAACCACUAUAAAAUCGCUAUUUUCUAGAAAAACGGAGACAACAAAGGUUCCAAACCUCUUUGACCUUCAUCAUAUGUUAGUAAAUGAUGCAACUAUGCAUUAAAAAAGAACUUUCCUUUUUUGAAUUUUUUUAAAAUCUAUGGGUUAAUAACCCCUACGAAAAUAUUUAUUUUUUGGUAAAUGCUCUAUAUAUUGAAGCCUAUGAUUUUUCGUGCUGUUUUAAAGUUUCUAAACACAUUAUACAUUUGUAUUAAUUUAUAUUAAACUCUUUUUCAUGGUACAUGGGCGUCGUUUAAAUUUUUUGUUAAUUAAUUUAGAAAAACUUCAUAAUACUCCCUAAAUUAGUUGACUAACCACUAUAAAAUCGCUAUUCCCUAGAAAAACGGAGACAACAAAGGUUCCAAACCUCGUUGACCUUCAUAAUUUCUUAGUGAAGGAUGCAACUAUGCAUUAAAAUAGAAUUUUCAAUUUUUUAAAUUUUUUUCAAAAUCUAUGGGUUAACCCCUACGAAAAUGUUUAAUUUUUCGGUAAAUGCUCUAUAUACUGAAGCCUAUGAUUUUCCGUGCUGUUUUAAAAUUUCUGAACAGAUUAUACAUUUGUAUUAAUUUAUAUUAAACAUUCUUUCAUGGUGCAUGGGCAUCAUUUAAAUUUUUUUUAAUUAAUUUAGUAAAACUUCAUAAUACUCCCUAAAUUGGUUAACUAACCACAAUGGAAUCGCUAUUCUCUAGAAAAACGGGGACAACAAAGGUCUCAAACCUCUUUGACCUUCAUCAUAUGUUAGUGAAUGAUGCAACUAUGCAAUAAAAUAGAAUUUUCAUUUUUUUUAUUUUUUUGUCAAAAUCUAUGGGUUAACAACCCCUACGAAAAUAUUUAAUUUUUUGGUAAAUUCUCUAUAUACUGAAGCCUAUGAUCUUUACUGUUGUUUUAAAAUUUCUAAACACAUUCUACAUUUGUAUUAAUGUUAAUUAAACUCUCUUUAAUGGUACAUGGGCAUCGUUUAAUUUUUUUGUCAAUUAAUUUAGUAAAACUUCAUAAUACUCCCUAAAUUGAUUGACUAACCACUAUAAAAUCGUUAUUCUAGGGAAUAACAGAGACAACAAUUCCAAACCUCUUUGACCUUUAUCAUUUGUUAGUGAUGGAUGUAACUAUACAUUAAAAUAGAAUUUUUAUUUUUUUGAAUUUUUCUCAAAAUCUAUAGGUUAACAACCCAUACGAAAAUAUUUAAUUUUUUGGUAAAUUCUCUAUAUACUGAAGCCUAUGAUCUUUACUGUUGUUUUAAAAUUUCUAAACACAUUCUACAUUUGUAUUAAUGUAAAUUAAACUCUCUUUAAUGGUACAUGGGCAUCGUUUAAAUUUUUUUUCAAUUAAUUUAGUAAAACUUCAUAAUACUCCCUAAAUUGGUUGACUAACCACUAUAAAACCACUAUGCUCUAGAAAAGCGGAGACCACAAAGGUUUCAAACCUCUUCGACCUUCAUCAUAUUUUAGUGAAUGAUGAAACUAUGCAUUUUUUUUUGUCAUCAACAAACAGACUCAUAUAGAUUCUGCGAACCAAACCGGUAACUCUGCAUCCAUGUGAAUGACGAAAGACGAUUGUUUUCUAGCACAUCUUGCUAGACUAUCCGCCUUUUGAUUUUCCGUCCGGGGUACAUGAAUGAUCUCUGAGAUAGUAAAACGUGUCUUCAGUAGCUUUAUGUCAUGCAGGUAACUCUCAAACGCCAGCCAUUCCUCUGGUUCCGAAACCAUCUUCACCAAUUGAGAACAAUCCGUAGCAAAAGUAACCUGAAACUAACGUAAAUUCCUCAUACAUUCCAUUGCCCAUAUCAAAGCUUCCAUCUCUGCAUGAAGAGGUGAAAGACAUGCCCUAGUAUUUGUUGCACCCAUCAAUCCCUGAAAGCCCUCGAGUAUGCUAUACCAUCCUUGACCUGAAUAAGGUUCUUUAUCUUUCCAGGAACCAUCUAUAAAACACCAACGACCAACCCUCGGCUGCCAAUUCAAAACCUCAUCCUGUGGUGGAGCCUGCGUAGUCUUAAUCACCUGGGCCUCAACCCAAAGUGUUGAUUCAGUUUCUGCAAGCUUAAGUGUAUCUCUUGGGUCAAUAUCCAAAUUACUAAAGACCUUAUUAUUCCUUCCUUUCCAAAUAUACCAUAGUAUCCAUGCAAAAUGAUGAUCUUCCAUCUUCGGGAGUACCCUAUAGAAAAGAUGAUCCAUAUUUGUAAAUAGUGAACUUGUGGGAAAGUAGACUGGAUUAGACGGUAUCUUUGACAAUGCCCAAACUUGACGCGCAGGAGGACACUCAAAAAAUACAUGGUUUAUUGAUUCCUCCUCAGCUCCACAUCUAAUACAACAAAUAUCUCCCUUCAUUCCUCUUGCUUGCAGAUUCUUCUUAACAGCUAUACAUCCGGAUACCAUUUGCCAUAAAAGAUGUUUAAGUUUCGGGGGACAUCUCACCUCCCAACAUAACGCUUUUAGAGUAUCCACUGUGGGACCAUAAAAAGCUGGUGGUUUUGCCGUAUCCGGAUAGACCCGUUCUAGCUGAUAUCCUGUUUUAACCGAAUAUUUUCCAUUAUUUGUGAAAUGACAUCCAUUCAUAUCCACCAAUUGAGUCUUACUCAACGGAAUACUAUCAACAAUUUGAGCGUCCUGGGGAUCCACCAAAUUCCGGAUUACUUGCGAUUUCCAAGUUCGUGAAAUUGGAUCUAUCAAAGAGUCCACUGUGAGGUCCUGAUAAGUGUCAUGUUGAUUUUUGUUUGCUGGUCUCGGGCGAGUGGUUGGGAGCCAUGGAUCACUCCAUACAGAGAUAGAGAACCCCGUUCCCACCCUUUUGAUUAGUCCUUUGCUAACCAGAGAUCUAGCAGAUACAAUACUCCUCCAACCGUAUGACGGAGAGUAUGAGCGGAUCGGUUCUAGGGGUGAGCCAUUCCUAUAAUACCGUCCUUUAAAAACUCUAGCAAAAAGAGUUGAAGGCUUCUCUAUCAGCCUCCACAAUUGCUUUCCAAGCAUGGCCGUAUUGAAAUCCGUUAUGUCCUUAAAGCCUAGACCUCCUUCGUCCUUGUUUGUACAUACUUUGUCCCAUGACUUCCAGUGCAUACCCCUUGUAUUUCCUCUGGACUCCACCAAAAUUUUGAUACUGCACUCGUCAAUUUCUUCACUGUUGCUUUUGGUAGCCGAUAAACAGACAUCACAGGGUUAGGCAAAGCCGUGGCUACUGAUUUAAUGAUAACUUCAUUUCCACCUUUGGAGAAAAACUUAAAUGUCCAUCCAUUCACCCUAUUAUUCAAACGGUCCUGGACAAAACCAAAAACCUGUAUCUUGGAUCCCCCAAGACUCUCCGGUAGACCCAGAUAUGAUCCCAUCCCACCUAAAUUAUGUAUCCCUAGGAUGUCUCUCAAUUCUUGUCUAGUGGACUCCUCGAUCUUAUGUCCAAAUUGAAUCGAAGAUUUCUGAAAAUUAAUCAGUUGGCCCGAGACCACCUCAUAAUCCUUCAGGAUCCUAAGAAUAGUAUGACAUUCUUCCCUGUGCCUUGCAGAAAAAAAACUAUCAUCUGCGAACAACAUAUGAGAGAUUGAAGGACAAGCUCUUACCACCUUCAUUCCUGUGAAAUGAUUUUCUCUUUCAGCCUUCUUGAUCUCCCCCUCGUCUCUAUCCUUUUCCCCUGAUCCACUCCUAUCGUGAUGCUCCUUAGUCUGUCCUAAAGGGAACCUCGAAUGAACUUCUUGUUCCCAUGAUCUUGAUUCCUCUCGCCGGGCUCCUCUAGAACGUGAAGAGCCACCAUCUCCUCUGUAAUUGAUUCCUCCGAUCUCCAUAAGAAAGGCCAGAACUAUGGGUUGACAAUCGUCAAAGAUAUUACCUUCCCUUCUCUGCGAUACCAUCUUGCGGAUGAUCGAAAUCGCAAGUAGAUCUCCGAGGAUCCCAUAAUUCCUUAACUUCACCCUUAUCCCCUUAUCCCCUUAUCCCUUUUCAAUCCAAACCAUCUAAGAAUUAAAGCGAAUCUCCAAACCUCCAAGCCGAAACCCUCCCUAUGAGAAAACGCAUCACGAACCCCCAGAUCACCGGGAUCCCACCAUCGCGAAACCAUGAAAUCCUAUAUCGCCGUUUUCAUCGCCUAUCGCCGUUUUUUCUUAGAAAGGAAACGAAGGUGUGAACUGUUGUGAUGAAACUAUGCAUUAAAAUAGAAUUUUCAUUUUUUUGAUUUUUUUUUCAAAAUCUAUGGGUUAACAACCCCUACGAAAAUAUAUAUUUUUUCGGUAAAUGCUCUAUAUAUUGAAGCCUAUGAUUUUUCGUGCUGUUUUAAAGUUUCUAAACACAUUGUACAUUUGUAUUAAUGUAAAUUAAACUCUCUUUAAUGGUACCCGGGCAUCGUUUAAAUUUUUUGUCAAUUAAUUUAGUAAAACUUCAUAAUACACCCAAAAUUGGUUGACAAACCACUAUAAAAUCGCUAUUCCUUGGAAAAACGGAGACAAUAAAGGUUCCAAACCUCUUUGACCUUCAUCAUAUGUUAGUGAAGGAUGCAACUAUGCAUUAAAAUAGAAUUUUCAAUUUUUUGAAUCAUUUUCAAAAUAUAUGGGUUAACCCCUACGAAAAUAUUUAACUUUUCGGUAAACUCUAUAUACUGAAGCCUAUGAUUUUUCGUGCUGUUUUAAAAUUUCUAAACACAUUAUACAUUUGUAUUAAUUUAUAUUAAACUCUCUUUCAUCGUACAUGAGCGUCGUUUCAAUUUUUUGUUAAUUAAUUUAGUAAAACUUCAUAAUACUCCCUAAAUUGGUUGACUAACCAAAAUGAAAUCGCUAUUCUCUACAAAAGCGGAGACCACAAAGGUUCCAAACCUCUUUGACCUUCAUCAUAUGUUAGUAAAGGAUGUAACUAUGCAUUAAAAUAGAAUUUUCAAUUUUCUGAAUUUUUUUCAAAAUCUAUGGGUUAACACCUACGAAAAUAUUUAAAUUUUUGGUAAAUGCUCUAUAUACUGAAGCCUAUGAUUUUUCGUGCUGUUUUAAAAUUUCUAAACACAUUAUACAUUUGUAUUAAUUUAUAUUAAACUCUCUUUCAUGAUACAUGGGCGUCGUUUAAAUUCUUUGUUAAUUAGUUUAGUAAAACUUCAAAAUACUCCCUAAAUUAGUUGACGAACCACAAUGAAAUCGCUAUUCUCUAGAAAAACGGAGACAACAAAGGUUCCAAACCUCUUUAACCUUCAUCAUAUGUUAGUGAAGGAUGCAACUAUGCAUUAAAAUAGAAUUUUUAAUUUUCUGAAUUUUUUUCAAAAUCUAUGAGUUAACACCUACGAAAAUAUUUAAUUUUUCGGUAAAUGCUCUAUAUACUGAAGCCUAUGACUUUUCGUGCUGUUUUAAAAUUUCUAAACACAUUAUACAUUUGUAUUAAUUUAUAUUAAACUCUAUUUCAUGAUACAUGGGCGUCGUUUAAAUUUUUUGUUAAUUAAUUUAGUAAAACUUCAAAAUAUUCCCUAAAUUGGUUGACUAACCACAAUGAAAUCGUUAUUCUCUAGAAAAACAGAGAUAACAAAGGAUCCAAACCUCUAUAAACUUCAUCAUAUGUUACUGAAGGAUGCAACUAUGCUUUAAAAUUGAAUUUUCUUUUUAUGAAUUUUUUUUUCAAAAUCUAUGAGUUAACCCCUAUGAAAAUAUUUAAUUUUUCGGUAAAUGCUAUAUAUACUGAAGCCUAUGAUUUUUCGUGUUGUUUUAAAAUUCCUAAACACAUUGUACAUCUUUAUUAAUGUAUAUUAAACUCUCUUUCAUGGUACAUUGGCGUCGUUUAAAUUUUGUGUCAAUUAAUUUAGUAAAACUUCAAAAUACUCUCUAAAUUGGUUAACUAACCACUAUAAAACCGCUAUUCUCUAGAAAAAUGGAGCCAAUAAAGGUUCCAAACCUCUUUGACCUUCAUCAUAUUUUAGUGAAGGAUGCAAAUAUGCAUUAAAAUAGAAUUUUCAUUUUUUUGAAUUUUUCUCAAAAUAUAUGGGUUAACCCCCUACGAAAAUAUUUAUUUCUUCGGUAAAUGCUCUAUAUACUGAAACCUAUCAUUUUUAGUGUAGUUUUAAAAAUUUUAAACACAUUCUACAUUUGUAUUAAUGUAUAUUAAACUUUCUUUCAUGGUACAUGAGCAUCGUUGAAAUUUUUUGUUAAUUAAUUUAGUAAAACUUCAUAAUACUCCCUAAAUUGGUUUAUUAACCACUAUAAAAUCGCUAUUCCCUAGAAAAACUGAGAGAACAAAGGUUUCAAACCUCUUUGACCUUCAUCAUAUGUUAGUGAAUGAUGCAACUAUGUAUUAAAAUAGAAUUUUUAUUUUAUUUGAAUUUUUUUCAAAAUCUAUGGGUUAACAUCUACGAAAAUAUUUAAUAUUUCGGUAAAUGCUCUAUAUACUGAAGCCUAUGAUUUUUCGUGCUGUUUUAAAGUUUCUGAACACAUUAUAAAUUUGUAUUAAUUUAUAUUAAACUCUCUUUCAUGGUACAUGGGCAUCGUUUAAAUUUUUUGUUCAUUAAUUUAGUAAAACUUCAUAAUACUCCCUAAAUUAGUUGACUAACCACAAUGGAAUCGCUAUUCUCUAGAAAAACGGAGACAACAAAGGUCCCAAACCUCUUUGACCUUCAUCAUAUGUUAGUAAAGGAUGCAACUAUGCAAUAAAAUAGAAUUUUCAUUUUUUUGAAUUUUUUUUCAAAAUCUAUGGGUUAACAACCCCUACAAAAAUAUUUAUUUUUCUGUAAAUGCUCUAUAUAUUGAAGCCUAUGAUUUUUCGUGCUGUUUUAAAAUUUCUAAACAAAUUAUACAUUUGUAUUAAUUUAUAUUAAACUCUUUUUCAUGGUACAUGAGCGUCGUUUAAAUUUUUGGUUAAUUAAUUUAGUAAAACUUCAUAAUACUCCCUAAAUUGGUUGACUAACCACAAUGAAAUCGCUAUUCUGUACAAAAGCGGAGACAACUAAGGUUCUAAAUUAGUUGAUUAACCACAAUGAAAUCGCUAUUCUCUAGAAAAACGAAGACAACAAAGGUUCCAAACCUCUUUGACCUUCAUCAUAUGUUAGUGAAGGAUGCAACUAUGCAUUAAAAUAGAAUUUUCAAUUUUCUGAAUUUUUUUCAAAAUCUAUGGAUUAACACCUAUGAAAAUAUUUAAUUUUUCGGUAAAUGUUCUAUAUACUGAAGCCUAUGAUUUGUCGUGCUGUUUUAAAAUUUCUAAACACAUUAUAAAUUUUUAUUAAUUUAUAUUAAACUCUCUUUCAUGAUACAUGGGCGUCGUUUAAAUUUUUUGUUAAUUAAUUUUGUAAAACUUUAUAAUACUCCCUAAAUUGGUUGACUAACCACAAUGAAAUCGCUAUUCUCUAGAAAAAUGGAGACAACAAAGGUUCCAAACCUCUUUGACCUUCAUCAUAUGUUAGUGAUUGAUGCAACUAUGCAUUAAAAUAUAAUUUUCAUUUUUUUGAAUUUUGUUCACAAUCUAUGGGUUAACAACCCCUACGAAAAUAUUUAAUAUUUCGGUAAAUGCUCUAUGUACUGAAGCCUAUGAUUUUUCGUGAUAUUUUAAAAUUUCUAAACACAUUCUAAAUCUUUAUUAAUGUAUAUUAAACUAUCUUUCAUGGUACAUUGGCGUCGUUUAAAUUUUGUGUCAAUUAAUUUAGUAAAACUUCAAAAUACUCUCUAAAUUGGUUAACUAACCACUAUAAAACCGAUAUUCUGUAGAAAAAUGGAGUCAAUAAAGGUUCCAAACCUCUUUGACCUUCAUCAUAUGUUAGUGAAGGAUGCAAAUAUACAUUAAAAUAGAAUUUUCAUUUUUUUGAUUUUUUCUCAAAAUAUAUGGGUUAACCCAUACGAAAAUAUUUAUUUUUUCGGUAAAUGUUCUAUAUACUGAAGUCUAUGAUUUUUAGUGUAGUUUAAAAUUUUUUAAAACACAUUCUACAUUUGUAUUAAUGUAUAUCAAACUUUCUUUCAUGGUACAUGAGCAUCGUUUAAAUUUUUUGUUAAUUAAUUUAGUAAAACUUCGUAAUACUCCCUAAAUUGGUUGACUAACCACAAUGAAAUCGUCAUUCCCUAGAAAAACGGAGACAACAAAGGUUUCAAACCACUUUGACCUUCAUCAUAUGUUAGUGAAUAAUGCAACUAUGUAUUAAAAUAGAAUUUUUAUUUUUUUAAUUUUUUUUCAAAAUCUAUGGGUUAACAACCCCUACGAAAAUAUUUAUUUUUUCGGUAAAUGCUCUAUAUAUUGAAGCCUAUGAUUUUUCGUGCUGUUUUAAAGUUUCUAAACACAUUAUACAUUUAUAUUAAUUUAUAUUAAACUCUAUUUCAUGGUACAUGGGCGUCGUUUAAAUUUUUUGUUCAUUAAUUUAGUAAAACUUCAUAAUACUCCCUAAAUUGGUUGACUAACCACAAUGAAAUCGUCAUUCUCUAGAAAAACGGAGACAACAAAGGUUCCAAACCUUGUUGACCUUCAUCAUAUGUUAGUGAAGGAUGCAACUAUGCAUUAAAAUAGAUUUUUUCAUUUUUUGAAUUUUUUUCACAAUCUAUGGGUUAACAACCCCUACGAAAAUAUUUAAUAUUUCGGUAAAUGCUCUAUAUACUGAAGCCUAUAAUUUUUCGUGCUAUUUAAAAAUUUCUAAACACAUUAUACAUUUGUAUUAAUUUAUAUUAAACUCUCUUUCAUGGUGGAUGGGCGUCGUUUAAAUUUUUUGUUAGUUAAUUUGGUAAAACUUCAUAAUACUCCCUAAAUUGGUUGACUAACCACAAUGGAAUCGCUAUUCUCAAGAAAAACGGAGAAAACAAAGGUCUCAAUCCUCUUUGACCUUCAUCAUAUGUUAGUGAAGGAUGCAACUAUGCAAUAAAAUAGAAUUUUUAUUUUUUUGAAUUUUAUUUCAAAAUCUAUGGGUUAACAUCUACGAAAAUGUUUAAUUUUUCGGUAAAUGCUCUAUAUACCGAAGCCUAUAAUUUUUCGUGCUAUUUUAAAAUUUUUAAACACAUUAUACAUUUGUAUUAUUUAUUUUAAACUCUCUUUCAUGGUGGAUGGGCGUCGUUUAAAUUUUUUUGUUAAUUAAUUUAGUAAAACUUCAUAAUACUCCCUAAAUUGGUUGACUAACCACAAUGAAAUCACUAUUGUCUAGAAACACGGAGACGCUAUUCUCUAGAAAAACAGAAACAAUAAAGAUCACAAACCUCUUUGACCUUCAUCAAUGUUUGUGAAGGAUGCAACUAUGCGAUAAAAUAGAAUUUUCAUUUUUUUGAAUUUUUUUUCAAAAUCUAUGGGUUAACAACCCCUACAAAAAUAUUUAUUUUUCGGUAAAUGCUCUAUAUAUUGAAGCCUAUGAUUUUUCGUGCUGUUUUAAAAUUUCUAAACACAUUAUAAAUUUGUAUUACUUUAUAUUAAACUCUCUUUCAUGGUACAUGAACGUCGUUUAAAUUUUUUGUUAAUUAAUUUAGUAAAACUUCAUAAUACUCCAUAAAUUGGUUGACUAACCACAAUGAAAUCGAUAUUCUCUAGAAAAACGGAGACAACAAAGGUUCCAAACCUCUAUGACCUUCAUCAUAUUUUACUGAAGGAUGCAACUAUGCUUUAAAAUAGAAUUUUCUUUUUUUGAUUUUUUUUUUCAAAAUCUAUGAGUUAACACCUAUGAAAAUAUUUAAUUUUUCGGUAAAUGUUCUAUAUACUGAAGCCUAUGAUUUUUCGUGCUGUUUUAAAAUUCCUAAACACAUUCUACAUAUUUAUUAAUGUAUAUUAAACUCUCUUUCAUGGUACAUUGGUGUCGUUUAAAUUUUGUGUCAAUUAAUUUAGUAAAACUUCAUAAUACUCUCUAAAUUGGUUAACUAACCACUAUAAAACCGCUUUUCUCUAGAAAAUGGAGUCAAUAAAGGUUUCAAACCUCUUUGACCUUCAUCAUUUGUUAGUGAAGGAUGCAAAUAUGCAUUAAACUAGAAUUUUCAUCUUUUUUAAUUUUUCUCAAAAUAUAUGGGUUAACCCCUACGAAAAUAUUUAUUUCUUCGGUAAAUGCUCUAUAUACUGAAGCCUAUGAUUUUUAGUAUAGUUUUAAAAAUUUUAAACACAUUCUACAUUUGUAUUAAUGUAUAUUAAACUUUCUUUCAUGGUACAUGAGCAUCGUUUAAAUUUUUUGUUAAUUAAUUUAGUAAAACUUCAUAAUACUCCUUAAAUUGGUUGAUUAACCACUAUAAAAUCACUAUUCCCUAGAAAAACAGAGACAACAAAGGUUUCAAACCUCUUUGACCUUCAUCAUAUGUUAGUGAAUGAUGCAACCAUGCAUUAAAAUAUAAUUUUUAUUUUUUUGAAUUUUUUUUUAAAAUCUAUGGGCUAACAACCGCUACGAAAAUAUUUAUUUUUUUCGGUAAAUGCUCUAUAUAUUGAAGCCUAUGAUUUUUCAUGCUGUUUUAAAGUUUCUAAACACAUUAUACAUUUGUAUUAAUUUAUAUUAAACUCUCUUUCAUGGUACGGGGGCGUCAUUUAAAUUUUUUGUUCAUUAAUUUAGUAAAACUUCAUAAUACUCCCUAAAUUGGUUGACUAACCACAAUGGAAUCGCUAUUCUCUAGAAAAACAGAGAUAACAAAGGUCUCAAACCUCUUUGACCUUCAUCAUAUAUUAGUGAAGGAUGCAACUCUGCAUUAAAAUAGAAUUUUUAUUUUUUUGAAUUUUUCUCAAAAUAUAUGGGGUAACCCCCUACGAAAAUAUUUAAUUUUUCGGUAAAUUCUCUAUAUACUGAAGCCUAUGAUCUUUACUGUUGGUUUGAAAUUUCUAAACACAUUCUACAUUUGUAUUAAUGUAAAUUAAACUCUCUUUAAUGGUACAUGGGCAUCGUUUAAUUUUUUUGUCAAUUAAUUUAGUAAAAGUUCAUAAUACUCUCUAAAUUGGUUGCUAACCACUAUAAAAUUGCAAUUCCCUAGAAAAACGGAGACAACAAAGGUUUCAAACCUCUUUGACCUUCAUCAUAUGUUAGUGAAAGAUGCAACUAUGCAUUAAAAUAGAAUUUUUAAUUUUCUGAAUUUUUUUCUAAAUCUAUGGGUUAACUAACACCUACGAAAAUAUUUAUUAUUUCGGUAAAUGCUAUAUAUACUGAAGCCUAUGAUUUUUCGUGCUGUUUUAAAAUUUCUAAACACAUUAUACAUUUUUAUUAAUCUAUACUAUUAAAUCAGAAUCCCUCAUAGGAUUCUGCCCCUGCCUUUUCAAAUUAAUUACAACUCUGCCACUGCCUAAUUUCCUUUUUUAAAAAAUAAAUAUAUGUCAACCCAGUUUUGACCAAUCAGAACUCUCCCAUUUUUAAAACCUAACCAUAACAGGACUUAUUUAAAGCAAACCAAAUUCGGCCCAGAUCCGAGUAAGGCCUGGAUUUUUAAAGCCAAUAAGAAUGGAUGUUAAGCCCAUUAAAAUUAUCCCUAUUAUAAAACCCUACACCCUGAAAUAAAAAAGCUCGGGGGUUAAAACUCAAACAUCUACUUCACAGAAAUAUAAAUAAAUGGUCAAAUGUUUAUUUUUCAGUUCAUUUCACCUACCUAUAUGUUAUUUAAAAUAUUCAUUUAUGAAAAUGUAAUAUAUACUUAUGGAUACUAAAUAAUUAUUUAAUCAAGCCAAAAAUAUGAAAUUUGAAUUUGAACCAAAAGUAUUACAGUAAAUAUAAAUAAAGUUCUCAAAAAUAUUUUUUUAAAAUCUAUUUAUCGUUAAAACAACCAGUAAUUUAUAUAUAGCUUGGAUACCAAAUCUAUUCAAAGAAUAUUCUUUAACACAUUCCGUAAUUUCCAUUUUCAAUUUUAAAAAUCGUUAUGUACUCCUCGAUUUUGGCGAGUAUUCAUAAUAUUAACAACAUAAUAUUCGAUAUAUGAUACCUAUAAUAAAUGGAGAAUCAAAAUAUAGAAAAUGAAGUUUAUAUAAUUUACCUACAAUCACGGUUCAUAGGAAUUCAAUCUUAUCAUAUUGCGUGUCCAAUACUCGCAUAAUAUUUUGGGUUUCAAAUUGGUAACUGAAUUUUCCUAAUAUUAAGUAGACAAUCUCAUGAGAUUUAGAGUAUGCCACAAAUUUUACUAAUAACCUAAACACCCAUCCCUAUCGCCUCUUCCUAUCCCACUAUAUAAAAGAAGCUAAUUUUGGAUGUUCUAAAGGAUGCCACAUGGGCAAAAUAUUCCAGACCAAUGAAACUGCCAGGUCAUGUCUUUAGCCCAAUAAAUUAGAAAAAUAUUUUGUCAUAACCUAAAAGUCACGGACAGGCCCAACCCCUAAGUAUUCCUGUCCACUUAUCUAAAUAUCUAAAAAACACUCAGCCUCCCCCCGUCAUCGAUUCACUUCCUCUCCCCAACUCCUCCAGCAUAAGGCCUCCGAUGACAGUGAUGAAACUUCAAUCGUCUGCCAUAAAUCCUCCAUUCAAGAUGACUAUUGACACUCCACAUCUCUCCUCCGGCUCGAUGAUAUCUAUCUCUUAGAGGAGCUGAAGAGAAAGCGAUUAAUCUCUGGAAAUCGUUACAUACAAAUGUCUGUUUUCAAGGAUGGAUGAUGUAAGGAGACUGUUGUUACAUAGCGCCUACGAUUUUGGGAAGCAAGAAAUGUGAAAAAGGUGGGGGCGCUUAUGGGUGCGUACAUGGUAUCCGUCGAAGAGAAGGUAGUCGUCAUGAAUCGUCAAAUUGUCAACUCUAUUUAUUUUCCAAUCUCCUCCCUCACUGACCUGUUUUUAAUAGAACUUUUUAUGCGUGCAGUCAGACCUAAUUCAAGCUUCAACUUCGGUUCAUAGGCUCAACACUAUUCUCAAGGAAGGAGGGAUCUAGAGGUUAAGUGUGUUCGAUCUCAGCCGAAGCAACAUCCACUUCAAACUAGCCGAUGCACCCGUGUCUAUUUGGUUCACUGAGCAGCUGAAGUUUGUUGAGGAUCGAUCGAGCCUCUGCCUAGCAUCCCAACCGAGAAGUUUAAGUUUCACAAAUAUGAAGAUCUCAUGUCUAUGGCAACACGAACGUUGAGUUACCCGUUCAGCUAUCCAAAUCUACCCGGUUAGUAUUAGAUUUCCCACCUAAUAUUUAAUCUGUUUCAACUUUACAGAUAUCGUUGGGGAAGUGACGGCCAUGAAAAGCACCCACAAUGAUGAGACGUAGAGCAUUCAACGUAUGAUGGUAUUAGUUGGUUUGAUGUGGUAACAAGCUGAGCAACCCCGUAUUAUAUCAAAAUAUAUAUUCAAUUUGAAGAUGAAUCAAUGCUGCUAGAGGAGCUCAGGCUGUUUGAUAAUUUGGUGUAUGGUGUUGUCUUUUUUUUUUCUGAAACACUUUUUUUUUGAAACACUGGUGUAUGGUGUUGUCUAUAAAGAUCAUGAGAUACCUAAAGACAUGAGGCAAGCUUGAAAGAGCUUUUUUGUUUAACUUCCAACCUAAACCCAAUAAUUUUGUCUAACCUUUUAUUUUUGGCAGCAUAUUAACUGGUUGGGGAAAAGAAAGCAAAGUGGUUGGAGACGGAGCGCUAAGGCGAGAGUGUUAACUUCACACUUAUUAGUCAUAGGUUAACUUUCUCCGAUAUUUAUCACCCCUUUGUAUACCAAUGUAUGAAAAUGAUCUUUGAUUUUGUGAUCAUAUGAAUUCCCAACUAAGAAAUUUUUGAUUAAUUAGAUUUCUCUCUGUUGCUUCUUACUUAUAUAUCAACUGUGUUGUGUGUUCUCUUCUUUUCACACCCUACAUGCUUACUGAUAUUGACGGUUUUCUGAGUUUGGAUGUUCAUAUCAUUAAAACUGAUAGACCGUGCUACUCGCAGUAACGAAAGGUUAUUUAUAAAAGAUACUAUCAACUUUUUCUUAACAUACUUUCUGGCAUACUCAUUGCACUUGCAGGCAUCACUAAUCCUAUAUCAUAUUAUAUUUUCUAUUCAUAUAUCAUACUGUAUAACAUCUUUCAAUAUUUGGGCCAAUAAGUUUUAUGGUCUUUUUGUAACAUUCUUACAUUUAAGCCGGCAUAUAUGGGUGUUAAAAGAAUAGAAAGACAAAUAAUGCCAAAAAACACAGUUAACAAACAACAGUAACCGAGUUUCCUUAUUUUUAAGUUUUGAGAACAAUAGCUUUUUGUCGUUUUUGGUAUUUUUAAUUCAAUUUAUAAUUUAUCGUCAAAUAGUUUGGUUUGUUAGAAAAUUACCGGUAUAAAUCAUAUAUUUUAAUCAGAAAACGUGUUAAGCUAUUUAAUUUCCUUUAUUUUGGUUAGAUAUGAUUGAAACAAUCUUAUUAACCUUAUCCUACGCAAUAAUUUAGCCAAAAUAUUGAAUUCUGCCUAAUAAAAAAGGAAUUUUGGUUCAUAUAUCAAACUAAAAUUGUAUGGCCAUAAAUUUAAUUAUCAAACAAAACCUAUUUAUUGUUUAAAAUAAACAAUGUAAAUACGUUGAUUUGUAUUACCUGUUCAACAUAUAGAGAAUAGGGCGAUAGCCUGGUUUUGAAACGAUAGACGACAUAAAAAAGGUGUAUUCAAUGAUUCUAAAGCUACAACAAAUUUUUAAAUUAGUUAUGAAUUUAAUAAGUUUUAUAUGAAAAGUGAAACCUAAAUAAGUAAGGAAAAAAGAAUAUUUAGACAUAACUUUUAAUUCAUGUUGCUCACCUUCCAUUAAUUUCAAAAUAAUAAAAAUACAACAAAUAGUAAGUUCUAAAGAUUUCAUAUUUGUUGGACAACACAAUGAAUGAACAAAAAUAACAUUUUUUAAAAUAUAUAUUUUAAUAGUCAAUUCUAAAAACAUAAAUGUUUUAAAAUAAACAAUUCAAAAUUAAUUUAAAAUUAAAAUAAAAAACCCGGGCGUAGCCCGGACCAGCCUCUAGUUAUAUAUAACAACGCCUCUUCCUAAUCAAACUCACACAGUCAAACAAAAAAUGGCUUCUAAAAUGCAGAUCAAAACAUCGAGUGCUUCUAAUGAAAAAUCACCGGCAUUAACGACCUGAGGCCAUGGAAAAACACUUGGUUUGUUUAUGUGAAGGUUCCACACUCUUAGAAACAAAAUAUUCAACUAUCAGGGAAAACCAUGAAAUUCAUCUUGGCGGAUGAGAAUGUAAGCAAUCUUAAAUUCCUAUUUACGUUUUUGAAAUAUGUUUUCUUUGUCGUUUAUAUCUUAUUUAAACUUGCUAUUAAUGAUAUUACUAUUUUCAAUGUGACUGGAACAUGUAUAAGAGGCCUAAAAUUCCUGCAACAUGCAAAAAGACUUACAUUGAGAAUAAAAGAAGGCUUCUUCCGGUUGGAGUAUGGUGCAACGUCCCGAACUUCAAAUUACUCCUGCAGGAGGAGCUUAUCGAUCAACAAGCCAUACCUGCAAGAUUUUUUUUAAUUAAAAUACAGUCAUUACUCGAUCCAGUCACAUGAAUGUUGAGUUGUAUCUUAGAUUCUUAGUUUGGCGACUUUCAAACUGUUUUGUCCGGAACACAUGAUGAAAAUCUCUCAAUUGAUAAAUAGAAAGGUGAUAGUGUUUUAAAAAUAUUUAUACUUGCUAUCAAUACUAACCUUUACAAUGUUUUUUUUUGUCAGAUGUUCUGGGCCAGGUUUUGGAUUGUAGUGAGGUAGAAACCAUUCAAUGUACUGGGGGAAGCAACGUAAAAAACUGGAGUUCACCCUAAGUGACAUCAAGUAAGUUUGCUGUCAUUUUUAAACAAAGAUAAUCCCUUACACUUUAAUGAAAUUACAACUAACCCAUUCUUGACUCACGCCAUAGUGAUUCGCGUUUACCAUGUUGCAUCUGGGGCAACUUAGCCAACAUUCUCCAGUCUGCCUGCAACCUCUCGAUCCCUUUUUUGCACAUCCAGAUAAUAUAGAACGGAAGAUAUCACCAUUGCGACAUGAAAAAUAAAAAUAUAAAAUAGUAAAAAAAGUUAGAAUUCAAAUUAUAUAUAUACUCUUGAUCAGUUACAAUGAACAUACUAUAUAUAGAGUAAGAUAGAUAAUGAAACUCUAUUUACCGGAAGAUAAUGGAAAAUCUGGAUCCGAGAAGUUCUAGCUUGGUUUAUAUUGAAAGAUAUUUUCUUGGACUCAGAUCGUCUACGGACAUAAACAAAAACAACGGAUUAUCAUCUGAUUGAAUAUAUCUAUAAUCGGAAAUCACAUGCAACUCAUCUGAAAAGUAAAAAAACAUUAACUUUUAGUUAAUCUUUUCUGGUUUUUAUGAUCGAAAGAUCUAUUGAUCAACCAAAAGGGAUUUGUGUUAUACCUUCAUAGAUCGGUGAUGAUUAAUCAUAUUUCACCCAUUCGAUUACUGUUUCGAGAGAGAAGCGAAGAUUUUUUUACCAAGGGAGAGUCAAAAAGUCAACUUUUUCUUUUGAUGGUUUCUACUUAAACCUGUUUUUGGGCCUGGAUUAUGAUAAAUAAAAUUUGGUCGGCAGUAUGUAAGCUCGAUUUACCACAAACCCUUCGUGUAAUUUUUGGUCCUAUAAUAUUUAAAGCCCAACUUUAAUUCCUUUAUAUUUUGUUAACAUAAACACAUGUAUAAUUAUUAUUCUUAUUAAAUAUGGUUUAUCCCGAUUAAACCGAGAACAAAAUUACUUAAUCAUAAACCAAACCAAACUCAUAAAACAUUUGAACUGUCUCUAUAUCUCUUAAAUCGAAAUAACCAAAAAUUACAACCAAACCGAAAUCAAUAACCAAAUAGAAAAUCUAAUUACAAUCAAAUCAAAAACUGAAUGCACAUCCAUAAAAAUAUUUUUAGAAAAAACAAACAGACUAACAAUUUUUUCAACAAAACAAAUCCUGCGCUUUGAAAGCGCGGGUCAAAAUCUUGUUUAUAUUAAACUCUCUUUCAUGGUACAUGGGCAUCGUUUAAAUUUUCUGUUAAUUAAUUUAGUAAAACUUCAAAAUACUCCCUAAAUUGGUUGACUAACCACAAUGAAAUCGCUAUUCUCUAGAAAAACGGAGACAACAAAGGUUCCAAACCUCUAUGACAUUCAUCAUAUGUUACUGAAGGAUGCAACUAUGCUUUAAAAUAGAAUUUUCUUUUUUUUUGAUUUUUUUUUCAAAAUCUAUGAGUUAACCCCUAUAAAAAUAUUUAAUUUUUCGGUAAAUGCUCUAUAUACUGAAACCUAUGAUUUUUCGUGUUGUUUUAAAAUUUCUAAACACAUUCGAUAUUUUUAUUAAUGUAUAUUAAACUCACUUUCAUUGUACAUUGGCGUCGUUUAAAUUUUGUGUUAAUUAAUUUAGUAAAACUUCAUAAUACUCUCUAAAUUGGUUAACUAACCACUAUAAAAUCGCUAUUUCUUAGAAAAACAGAGACACCAAAGGUUUCAAACCUCUUUGACCUUCGUAAUUUGUUAGAAUGAUGCAACUAUGAAUUAUAAUAGAAUUUUUAUUUUUUUGAAUUUUUUCAAAAUUUAUGGGUUAACAACCCCUACGAAAAUAUUUAUUUUUUCGGUAAAUGCUCUAUAUACUGAAACCUAUGAUUUUUCGUGUUGUUUUAAAAUUUCUAAACACAUUCGAUAUUUUUAUUAAUGUAUAUUAAACUCACUUUCAUUGUACAUUGGCGUCGUUUAAAUUUUGUGUUAAUUAAUUUAGUAAAACUUCAUAAUACUCCCUAAAUUGGUUGAUUAACCACUAUAAAAUCGCUAUUUCUUAGAAAAACAGAGACAACAAAGGUUUCAAACCUCUUUGACCUUCAUAAUUUGUUAGAAUGAUGCAACUAUGAAUUAUAAUAGAAUUUUUAUUUUUUUGAAUUUUUUCAAAAUUUAUGGGUUAACAACCCCUACGAAAAUAUUUAUUUUUUCGGUAAAUGCUCUAUAUAUUGAAGCCUAUGAUUUUUCGUGCUGUUUUAAAGUUUCUAAACACAUUAUACAUUUGUAUUAAUUUAUAUUAAACUCUCUUUCAUGGUACAUGGGCGUCGUUUAAAUUUUUGGUUCAUUAAUUUAGUAAAAAUUCAUAAUACUCCCUAAAUUGGUUGACUAACCACAAUGAAAUCACUGUUCUCUAUAAAAGCGGAGACAACAAAGGUCCCAGACCUCGUUGACCUUCAUCAUAUGUUAGUGAAGGAUGCAACUAUGCAUUAAAAUAGAAUUUUCAUUUUUUGAAAUUGUUCACAAUCUAUGGGUUAACAACCCCUACAAAAAUAUUAAAUUUUUCGGUAAAUGCUCUAUAUAUUGAAGCCUAUGAUUUUUCGUGCUGUUGUAAAAUUUCUAAACACAUUAUACAUUUGUAUUAAUUUACAUUAAACUCUCUUUAAUGGUACAUAGGCGUCGUUUAAAUUUUUUGUUAAUUAAUUUAGUAAAACUUCAUAAUACUCCCUAAAUUGGUUGACUAACCACUAUAAAAUCGCUAUUCCCUAGAAAAACGGAGACAACAAAUGUUCCAAACCUCUUUGACCUUCAUAAUAUGUUAGUGAAGGAUGCAACUAUGCAUUAAAAUAGAAUUUUCAAUUUUUUGAAUUUUUUUUAGAAUCUAUGGGUUAACCUCUACGAAAAUGUUUAAUUUUUCGGUAAAUGCUCUAUAUAGUGAAGCCUAUGAUUUUUCGUGCUAUUUUAAAAUUUCUAAACACAUUAUACAUUUGUAUUAAUUUAUAUUAAAAUCUCUUUCAUGGUGGAUGCGCGUCUUUUAAAUUUUUUGUUACAUAAUUUAGUAAAACUUCAUAAUACUCCCUAAAUUGGUUGACUAACCACAAUGGAAUCGCUAUUCUCUAGAAAAACGGAGACAACAAAGGUCCCAAACCUCUUUGACUUUCAUCAUAUGUUAGUGAAGGAUGCAACUAUGCAAUAAAAUAGAAUUUUCAUUUUUUUGAAUUUUUUUUUCAAAAUCUAUCGGUUAACAACCCCUACGAAAAUAUUUAUUUUUCGGUAAAUGCUCUAUAUAUUGAAGCCUAUGAUUUUUCGUGCUGUUUUAAAAUUUCUAAACACAUUAUACAUUUGUAUUAAUUUAUAUUAAACUCUCUUUCAUGGUACAUGAGCGUCGUUCAAAUUUUUUGUUAAUUAAUUUAGUAAAACUUCAUAAUACUCUCUAAACUGGUUGAUUAACCACAAUAAAAUCGCUAUUCUCUAAAAAAGCGGAGACCACAAAGGUUCCAAACCUAUUUGACCUUCAUCAUAUGUUAGUGAAGGAUGCAACUCUGCAUUAAAAUAGAAUUUUCAUUUUUUUGAAUUUUUCUCAAAAUAUAUGGGUUAACCCCCUACGAAAAUAUUUAAUUUUUCGGUAAAUUCUCUAUAUACUGAAGCCUAUGAUCUUUACUGUUGUUUUAAAAUUUCUAAACACAUUCUACAUUUGUAUUAAUGUAAAUUAAACUCUCUUUAAUGGUACAUGGGCAUCGUUUAAUUUUUUUGUCAAUUAAUUUAGUAAAACUUCAUAAUACUAUCUAAAUUGGUUGCGAACCACUAUAAAAUUGCUAUUCCCUAGAAAAACGGAGACAACAAAGGUUCUAAACCUCUUUGACCUUCAUCAUAUGUUAGUGAAGGAUGAAACAAUGCAUUAAUAUAGAAUUUUCAAUUUUCUGAAUAUUUUUCAAAAUCUAUGGGUUAACACCUACGAAAAUAUUUAAUUUUUCGGUAAAUGCUCUAUAUACUGAAGCCUAUGAUUUUUCGUGCUGUUUUAAAAAUUUUAAACACAUUAUAGAUUUGUAUUAAUUUAUAUUAAACUAUCUUUCAUGGUACAUUGGCAUCGUUUAAUUUUUUUGUUAAUUAAUUUAGUAAAACUUCAAAAUACUCCCUAAAUUGGUUGACUAACCACAAUGAAAUCGCUAUUCUCUAGAAAAACGGAAACAACAAAGGUUCCAAACCUCUUUAACCUUCAUAAUAUGUUAGUGAAGGAUGCAACUAUGCAUUAAAAUAGAAUUUUCAAUUUUUUGAAUUUUUUUCAGAAUCUAUGGGUUAACCCCUACGAAAAUGUUUAAUUUUUCGGUAAAUGCUCUAUAUACUGAAGCCUAUGAUUUUUCGUGCUAUUUUAAAAAUUCUAAACACAUUAUACAUUUGUAUUAAUUUAUAUUAAACUCUCUUUCAUGGUGGAUGAGCGUCGUUUAAAUUUUUUGUUACAUAAUUUAGUAAAACUUCAUAAUACUCCCUAAAUUAGUUGACUAACCACAAUGGAAUCGCUAUUCUCUAGAAAAACGGAGACAACAAAGGUCUCAAACCUCUUUGACCUUCAUCAUAUGUUAGUUAAGAAAGCAACUAUGCAAUAAAAUAGAAUUUUUAUUUUUUUGAAUUUUGUUUCAAAAUCUAUGGGUUAACAACCCCUACGAAAAUAUUUAUUUUUCUGUAAAUGCUCUAUAUAUUGAAGCCUAUGAUUUUUCGUGCUAUUUUAAAAUUUCUAAACACAUUAUACAUUUGUAUUAAUUUAUAUUAAACUCUCUUUCAUAGUGGAUGAGAAUCGUUUAAAUUUGUAGUCAAUUAAUUUAGUAAAACUUCAUAAUACUCCAUAAAUUGGUUGACUAACCACCAUACAAUCGCUAUUCUCUAGAAAAACAGAGACAAGAAAGGUUCCAAACCUCUUUGACCUUCAUUAUAUGUUAGUGAAGGAUGCAACUAUGCGUGAAAAUAGAUUUUCAUUUUUUUGAAAUUUUUCUAAAAAUCUAUGGGUUAACCCGCUACGAAAAUAUUUAAUUUUUCGGUAAAUUCUUUAUAUAAUGAAGCCUAUGAUUUUUAGUGUAGUUUCUAAAAAAAAUUCUACAUGUAUAUUAAUGUAUAUUAAACUCUAGUUAGUGGUACAUGGGAAUUCUUUAAAUAUUUUGUCCAUAAAUUUUGUAAAACUUCAUAAUACACCCUAAAUUUGUUGACUAACCACUAUAAAAUUGCUAAUCCCUAGAAAAACGGAGACAACAAUGGUUCCAAACUUCUUUAAACUUCAUCAUAUGAUAGUGAAGGAUGCAACUUUGCGUUAAAAUAGAAUUUUCAUUUUCUUUUGAAUUUUACUCAAAAUCUAUGGGUUAACCCCUACGAAAAUAUUUAGGGGGUGUUAGUGGGAGUUAUAUUUAUGAUGAUUGUUAGAAUUUAUAGAAUCUAGUGUUAUUGGUUUACACAUUCUCACAUUCUCAUUAAAAUCUAGUGUUAUUGGUUUUAUGAUUUAGUAAUUCUACUAGUAUUAACCCCGUGCAUUCGCACGGUAUUAUUUUUGUUAAAAAUAAAACCUAAGUUCAGUUAUACAUAGAUAACUAAAAUUACAUGUAUAAAAUCAAAAAGAGAUGAGUAUACAUAAAAAUUGUUAACACACUUUUAGUUUAAAGUUUCCUGUUUUAUUUAUUUUUGUCUUGCCUUUCAUGUUUAACAAUUAACAUGUAGUUUAUGGCUUCUUUGGUUUAUUAUAUCCAUUAAUGUAUUUACUAUUCCAUCUUCAAAUGAAAAAAAAUCUUACAAAUCCAACUAAAAAUAUCAGCAUGUAACAGAGAAACAUCAAUCUAUGAGGCAAAUUAAGAAGUAAAAGUCAGUAAACAAUGAAAAAUAAUUUCAUCUGAAUAUAUAAGAUAAAUGAUAAGGAAUACAUUACACUUGACUAAACCAUGCAGACUCUAGUAAAUACUCUAAAUAUAAAUGGUAUGUUGAUGUGAAAGCAAAGUUGAGAAAUUAUAUACAUAGAGAACCGUCAAAAUACCUUUGAGAUUAAGAACAUUUAUGAAUUUGAUUGUUUGAACUCCUAUUUUAUGGGAUUUAAGAGGAUGCACUAAAUCUGAAGAAUAAUUUGAGAUAUCAAACACCUGAAACAAACAAACAAAAAAAUUGAAUGCCGAGAGAUGGACAAAUUUACCAAGAAACUGAAAAAAUUUACCAGGAAAUCUGAAACAUUGAAUUUACAAGGGAAUAAUGUUAUUCCAAAAGUGUUUUCAAGAUAUAUCUAUGUAGUAAAAAUACCUUUUAACAGCCUGAUCUUUUAGGUGGUGAAUUAAUAGAACCUCUUUAUUUUUAUAAAAAGGCCUUCCUGUGAUUUUACCACGUAGUCUGCUUUUUAUCUUCUUCCUCCUCUCUUUCUGGCGGGUCUUACUGAAUCUCCAGCCUGUUCUGAUGAAGCAAUAAGAUAGCGUCACUGCUAUAUAUGAGUUGUUGAGAUCCCUUUACUCCGAAAUUGAACCGUGCUCUAGUUCAAAACAUUCAUAGGUUUUGAAAUAGAAGAAUGAGCAUAUCUCUGUUACGACUGAUUUGGAGUUUUUCUUUUGUUUACGUAUUGAAUCUGGAAAAUAUAGGAGCAAUUAAAAUUGAAAAGCAUAAGAUCGUGGAUCGUGGGCUGUUUCAAGAAAUAGAUACGGUUAAUUUUUUUCUUAAGCACUUUUUUCUCCUUAAGCAUUAUCUGGUUUGAUUAUUAUUUUUUAAUUAUAAACAUAUCUUACGUGGCAUAAUUUGAUUGGCUAGGUGACUUGUGCUUUAGUAUAUAAGGGAUACACAAUCUUUUGUUAUUCAAAAAGUCUAGAUUUUAAUGAUUUUUUAAAUCUAUUAAAGUUGGUGUUAUUGGAAGUUGUAUUCUUCACCAUUUAACUCAUAACACAAGAUUUUGAGAAUACUACUUAUAUACCUUAGAUUCUUAGAAUCAUUAUAUCAAUGUAUUUUCAUAGAAUUUUACAAUAUACAAAACUCUCUACAACUCUUUCCAAAUUUAACAAAUCUUUCAACUUUUAAAAUCAACAAACUCUAUAUAAAUCUUACUUCCACUAACACCCCCUUAAUUUUUUGUUAAAUGCUCUAUAUACUGAAGCUUUUGAUAUUUACUGUUGUUUUAAAAUUUCUAAACACAUUCGACAUUUUUAUUAAUGUAUAUUAACCUUUCUUUCAUGGUACAUGAGCAUCGUUUAAAUUUUUUGUCAAUUAACUUAGUAAAACUUCAAUACUCCCUAAAUUGGUUGACUACCACUAUAAAACCGCUAUUUUCUAGAAAAGCGGAGACCACAAAGGUUGCAAACCUCUUUGACAUUAAUCAUAUGUUAGUGAAGGAUGCAACUAUGCAUUAAUAGAAUUUUCUUUUUUUUUGAAUUUUUAUCAAAAUCUAUAAGUUAACCCCUACAAAAAAUAUUUAAUUUUUCUGUAACUGCUCUAUAUACUGAAGCCUAUGAUUUUUGGUGUAGUUUUAAAAAAUUUAAGCACAUUCUACAUUUCUAUUAAUGUAUAUUAAACUCUCUUUAAUGGUUCAUGGGCAUCCUUUAAUUUUUUUGUCAAUUAAUUUAGUAAAACUUCAUAAUAUUCCCUAAAUUGGUUGACUAACAACUAUAAAAUCACUAUUUUCUAGAAAAACGGAGACAAAAAAGGUUCCAAACCUCUUUGAUCUUCAUCAUAUGUUGGUGAAGGAUGCAAGUAUGCAUUAAAAUAGAAUUUUCAUUUUUUUAUUUUUUCUCAAAAUCUAUGUGUUAACCCCUACGAAAAUAUUUAUGUUUUUGUUAAAUGAUCUAUAUAUUGAAGCCUAUGAUCUUUACUGUUGUUUUAAAAUUUCUAAACACAUUCUACAUUUGUAUUAAUGUAUAUUAAACUUUCUUUCAUGGUACAUGAGCAUCGUUUAAUUUUUUUGUCAAUUACUUUAGUAAAACUUAAUAAUACUCCCUAAAUUGGUUGAGUAACCACAAUAAAACCGCUAUUCUCUAGAAAAGCGGAGACCACAAAGGUUCCAAACAUCUUUGCCCUUCAUCAUAUGUUAGUGAAGGAUGCAACUAUGCAUUAAAACAGAAUUUUCAUUUUUUGAAUUUUUCUCAAAAUCUAUGUGUUAACCCCUACGAAUAUAUUUAAUUUUUCGGUAAAUAUUUUAUAUACUGAAGCUUAUGAUCUUUAGUGUUGUUUUAAAAAUUCUAAACACAUUCUACACUUGUGUUAAUGUAUAUUAAACCCUCUUUCAUGGUUCAUGGGCAUAGUUUAAAUUUUUUGUCAAUUAAUUUAGUAAAACUUCAUAACACACCCUAAAUUGGUUGACUAACCACUAUAAAAUCUCUAUUCUCUAGAAAAAUGGAGACCACAAAGGUUUUGACCUCUUUGAACUUCAACUUAUGUUAGUGAAAGAUGAAACUAUGCAUUAAAAUAUAAUUUUUAUUUUUUUGAAUUUUUCUCAUAAUCUACGGGUAACCCCUACGAAAAUAUUUAAAUAUUUCGGUAAAUGCUCUAUAUGUUGAAUCCUAUGAUCUUUACUGUUGUUUUAAAAUUUCUAAACACAUUCUAUAUUUUUAUUAAUGUAUAUUAAAUAUUCUUUCAUGGUACAUGAGCAUCGUUUAAAUUUUUUGUCAAUUAAUUUAGUAAAACUUCAUAAUACUCUCUAAAUUAGUUGACUAACCAGUAUAAAACCGUUAUUCUUUAGAAAAGCGGAGACCACAAAGGUUCCAAACCUCUUUGACAUUCAUUAUAUGUUAGUGAAUGAUGCAACUAUGCAUUAAAAUAGAAUUUUUAUUUUUUUUUAAUUUUUGUCAAAAUCUAUGUGUUAACCCCUACGAAAUUAUUUAAUUUUUCGGUAAAUUCUCUCUAUACUGAAGCCUAUGAUUUUUAGUGUUGUUUUAAAAUUUCUGAACACAUUCUACAGUUGUGUUAAUGUAUAUUAAACUCUCUUUCAUGGUACAUGGGCAUAGUUUAAACUUUGUGUCAAUUAAUUUAGUAAAACUUCAUAACACUCCCUAAAUUGGUUGACUAACCACUAUAAAAUCGUUAUUCUCUAGAAAAACGGAGACCACAAAGGUUCCAGCCUCUUUGACGUUCAUCAUAUGUUAUGUAUUAAUAUAUGUAUUAAAAUAGAAUUUUCUUUUUUUUGAAAUUUUCUCAAAAUCUAGGGGUAUACCCUACGAAAAUAUUGAAUUUUUCGGUAAAUGCUCUAUAUACUGAAGCCUAUGAUCUUUACUUUUGUUUUAAAAUUUCUAAACACGUUCCACAUUUGUAUUAAUGUAUAUUAAACUCUCUUUCAUGGUCCAUGGGCAUAGUUUAAUUUUUUGUCAAUUAAUUUAGUAAAACUUCAUAAUACUCCCUAAAUUUAAGUUUCCUUUUUUAUCUCUAUUUUAACAAUAUAUAUAUGAUAAAAGUAUUUACUAUAUUUAAAACGUAAAUAUAUUUUUAAAUGUAAGUAUGUUUUCAUUAAAAGGAAAAUUUACAAUAAUUCAAAAAAAAAGAAAUUCUUAUAUUUUUGUUAAAUUAUAUUCUGUGCAUUUUCAUACACAUAGUGAUCCAAAUUAAUAAAAAUAAAAUUAAAAAAAUUAAUAUUAUUUGAGAACUCAAAUUUUUACAUUAAGUUCACUUUAAUUCUUGCAAUGUUUAAUUAUAGAAGUACAUUUAAUAAAUAAAUAUAUUAUAUGAAAUUUCCAUUAUUAAAAAUAACUGAUUUUCUUUUCGUUUUUUUUAAAAACAUUUUUUUUAAUUUAUAUUUGUAACAAAAUACAUGUAUGUUAAAAAAAAGAUGAAAUUUACUAGAAACGUAAAAUAUUUUUUAAAUAAAAGUGUUUUCCAUUACAAUAGAGGAAAACACACAGAUAAAAAUUAUACAUAAUUAUUAAAUAUCUACUUCAUAACUAUAUUAAUUUUCUUCAACCAAAUAUAUGAAUAUUCAACCAAAUCCGAAUUCUUUGAUUUUGGUUUCAUAAUAUUUGUGCAUUUUCAUACGUCAAAAUAAUAUAAUGAUUUGAAUUGAUAAAUUUUAAAAGCAAAGAAUUUAAUUAUUUUUAAAACUAUUUGUAUACCUGUGUGAAAUUUUAAAAUAUUAUCAGUUAAUUUCAUUUAUAAAUCUCCCAAUCGAUAACUUAAAUGAAAUUUUAACCAGUUAUUAUGAGUUAGUUCGUUUGAAAAUUAUAAAAGUGCAUGAUAUUCCAAAAGCUUAUCAUUAACAUUCAUUUAUAUAACUACGAGACAAUCACCAUUUUUGGUUUUCUUUUUGAAGCACACCAUUUUUGUUUAUAUACAUUUUCUAUUUGUUUUCCCAAAUUACAUAUAACAAAUUAUAUAUAAUUUUACAAAAAUAUAUUUACAAAUAUUAGACACAUAACUAUAUGGAGCAAACACAAUUAAUUAAAAAAAAACCCAAUUGAGGACAAAAGUUAUGAUUUAGUUCAGAAGAAUAAAUAUAAUAUAAUAUAAUAUAUCUAAAUGAUAACGAAACCAACUAUAUAUGUCACCUAAAAUUACAUGUAUAACUAAAAUGAUAUUAUGUAACGUAAUAUUUAAUUAUGUACAUAAAUUAUAAAUAAAUUUAAAAUUUAUAAGUAAAUAAAUUAUUAUAAUUUAUUUACGUAAAUAUUUAAGGCCGUGCAUAUGUACGGGAAAAUCACAUAAUAGUAACGUAUCAAUAAGUGAUUUGUAAAAAAAUUGCUUAUUUAUGAAUUUUGUAUGAAAAUAUGUAUGUUAUUGAUCUUAUAAGCAUAUACACCUGUGAUGAAAAAGCCUCAGCUUUCUCUCUCUUCGAAAAAUUCACAAUUCAUAGAUAACAAUUCAAAUUAGUUCAGUUUUUUUGGUAUAUUGGAUUUAUUUAUCUUUUAAUCAUAAUUUAUUUUGUUUUUGAAUAAAUUACAAUCCUAUUAUUUUCUAAAUAUAUUUUAUAAUAAUUUGUAUAAUUUUAAUAUAUGUUAUUUAUGAAAAAAAAACUAAAAGUAAUAAUGUUAUUAGAGUUGCAUGUUAAAAACCCAUACACAUAUUUAAAUAUUCAUAAAAUAGUUACAAUGUUUUGCUUUCAUUUUUAGAAAAUUUAAAAUAGUUUAUAAUUUAUAUGUAUGAAAAUGAUAUAGAUUUUCUUUAUAAACCUUAUAUUGUUAUCUUACUUUAACAUAUAUUUUUCGUAUAAGAAUUCAAAAUGAAUUGCAACAAUUCCUCUAAAUUGAGCUAACUAUUUUUCUUAGUUUUGCUUAUUUAUGAAUUUUGUAUGAAAAUAUGUAUGUUAUUGAUAUUAUAAGCUUAUACAACUGUGAUGAAAAUUCCUCAGCUUUCUCUCUCUUCAAAAAAAUUCACAUUUCAUAGAUAAAAAUUCAAAUUAUUUCAGUUUUUUUUUAUAUUGGAUUGUAUUUAUCUUUCAAUCUUAUUUUUUUCGUUCUGAAUAAAUUACAAUCAUAGUAUUUUCUAAAUAUAUUUUUUUAUAAUAGUUUGUAUACUUUUAAUGUAUGUUGUUUCAUAAAAAAAACUAAAAAACUAAUGUUAUUAGAGUUGCAUUAGCCAAUAUAAUCAGUAGUAUUGUAAAAACCCAUACACAAAUUUAAAUUGUCAAAAAAUAGUUAAAUCACAAUGUUUAGCUUUCACUUUUUAGAAAAUUUUAAAUAUUUUAUAAUUUAUAUGUAUGAAAAUUAUAUAGAUUUUCUUUAUAAACAUUAUAUUGUUAUCUUACUUUAACAUAUAUUUUUGUUAUAAAAAUUCAUAUUGAAUUGAAACAAUUCCUAUAAAUUGAACUAUCUCUUUUUCUUAGUUUAAUUAGGCCAAAAUAUGCAUAAUUUUGUUCUUUUCAUUCAAUUUGGUUCUUCUUUACAUUUCUAAGUAUAUAUUUAUAAAAAUCUAUAUUAAUUUUUAAGUAUAUAUUUGUAAACAUUAAUGUGAGUUUUUUUGUAAACCACUUGACAAUAUGAUAACAUGAAAAAAUAAUAUGUUUAACUUUAUAUAUAUACCUUGUCUACAAAAUAUAGAAUAUAUUCCUGAGUCCUAAAUUCCUAAUACUUACUUAGUUUGUGGGUGAUGGUAUAAUCUAUAACUCUGACUACAUUUGCCUUUAAAUUUUUUAUGUAUUUAUCAUAUUCCUCGGUCAACAUUGUCUAUAUAUGUUAUUGACUCUUAAGUAAAAAAAUAUAAUAAUAUAUAGAAAUAAUAAUUCCUAAAGAUAUUUCCACACUUGUGGUUAACCACUAAAACAUACAAGUAUUUUGAAACCGAACCAAAAAUUAACCAAAAUAUUUUGGUUUACAAGGUCAAGAUCAAGCAGUCGAAAUAUGAUCAAAUAUAUACCUUGUCUACAAAAUAUAGAAUAUAUUCCUGAGUCCUAAAUUCCUAAUACUUACUUUGUUUGUGGGUGAUGGUAUAAUCUAUAACUCUGACUACAUUUGCCUUUAAAUUUUUUAUGUAUUUAUCAUAUUUCUCGGUCAACAUUGUCUAUAUAUGUUAUUGAUUCUUAAGUAAAAAAAUAUAAUAAUAUAUAGAGAUAAUAAUUCCUAAAGAUAUUUCCACACUUGUGGUUAACCACUAAAACAUACAAGUAUUUUGAAACCGAACCAAAAAUUAACCAAAAUAUUUUGGUUUACAAGGUCAAGAUCAAGCGGUCGAAAUAUGAUCAAAUAUAUACCUUGUCUACAAAAUAUAGAAUAUAUUCCUGAGUCCUAAAUUCCUAAUACUUACUUUGUUUGUGGGUGAUGGUAUAAUCUAUAACUCUGACUACAUUUGCCUUUAAAUUUUUUAUGUAUUUAUCAUAUUUCUCGGUCAACAUUGUCUAUAUAUGUUAUUGAUUCUUAAGUAAAAAAAUAUAAUAAUAUAUAGAAAUAAUAAUUCCUAAAGAUAUUUCCACACUUGUGGUUAACCACUAAAACAUACAAAUAUUUUGAAACCGAACCAAAAAUUAACCAAAAUAUUUUGGUUUACAAGGUCAAGAUCAAGCGGUCGAAAUAUUAUCACUUUUUGUUAUCGCUUCUUGAGAAAUUAACCAUUCGAUCAAAAACUAACUAAAAUAUAUAUGACUUAGAAUUUUUUCCUUAUAAAAUUUUUUGUUUUUAACUAUUAAAAAUAUAAAACUGUCGUGAUACGCAAAUUAGUAUAGUCUGGUAUAUAACAUCUACUAAUUUGAUAUUUCAGUUACAGUAAAUUUAUUAUAAACUAUAAUUUAGUAUUGUGGGAGACGGAUUUGACAUCUUUUAACUUGUCUUAACUGAAAUUAACAAAUUGAAAACAAGAAAAAUUUCUAGAAUAAAUGAAACCCACAAAGUAAGCAAAAUCUAUUGAAAAUUAAUAAACCUACGUGCAACUAAAUAAAAAUAAAUAAAUAAAUUCAAAAAAGCCUCGGCGGUAUUAUUCAAUCAAUGAUUUAAAAUCAAUUGUCAAGUAUUUCAAUCAAUUAAACUUUAUUUAAACGUUAUUUUUAGUUAAUGAAUUCUAAAACCUUUGCAGUAUAAUUUGGAUUUAGAUUUGAAUUCUAAAAUUUUUGCAGUAUAAAUUAUAAAAAAAAAUUAUUGUCUAAAUGGAUCGUCUAAUAGAUGAAUUCACUAUUUUAUGAAAAUCGUCGAAUUUAGAUUUAGUUAACGAUAAAAAUCUCUAAAAUAUUUUAAUCAUUAACUAAAAUAUUUAUUAUAUAGUAAAAUAUAAACACAGUUGUGUUAAAAGAAAUUAUUUUAAGCAUCAUUAUAUUUAAAUUAGUAAAAUAUAAUAUACUGAAUUUAUAUUUAACAAAAAUAAUAUUCUUAAUUCUCUUGAUAUAUUUUCAAAUACAGGAAAACCCGGAUCUUAUUUUUUCAUUAGUUUUUGUUAUUGUUUUGAUAAAACCGAACCGAUGUAUACACCUCUCAUAAAACCAGAAAGAAAGAAAGAAAAAAAAUAGAAAUCUCUUUAGACAUUUUGGAUGAAGAAAGUUUGACCAUAUAAAUUGUUACCAAAAUAAAAUUGUUGAAUUUUACUAUAAGAACACCAACUCUCUCCUAUGCAGCACCACACAUCUGUUCCUU